rnacentral:lncRNA from 1 species
GACUCGACGUACAAGCUGCUGCCAGGCGUGGAGGUGAAUGACGAAAUCACCAAGGCCAAGGAAUCCGUCACCGCCAUCUUCAAGGCCGCCGAGGCCUACCUCAUCGCCAACCCCGACGCCUACAACUGAAUCNNNNNNNNNNNNNNNNNNNNNNNNNNNNNNNNNNNNNNNNNNNNNNNNNNNNNNNNNNNNNNNNNNNNNNNNNNNNNNNNNNNNNNNNNNNNNNNNNNNNNNNNNNNNNNNNNNNNNNNNNNNNNNNNNNNNNNNNNNNNNNNNNNNNNNNNNNNNNNNNNNNNNNNNNNNNNNNNNNNNNNNNNNNNNNNNNNNNNNNNNNNNNNNNNNNNNNNNNNNNNNNNNNNNNNNNNNNNNNNNNNNNNNNNNNNNNNNNNNNNNNNNNNNNNNNNNNNNNNNNNNNNNNNNNNNNNNNNNNNNNNNNNNNNNNNNNNNNNNNNNNNNNNNNNNNNNNNNNNNNNNNNNNNNNNNNNNNNNNNNNNNNNNNNNNNNNNNNNNNNNNNNNNNNNNNNNNNNNNNNNNNNNNNNNNNNNNNNNNNNNNNNNNNNNNNNNNNNNNNNNNNNNNNNNNNNNNNNNNNNNNNNNNNNNNNNNNNNNNNNNNNNNNGUUGAGAGAUAUCAUACAUGAUUAUGAUGUCCCUAGUUUGAAUUCCGUGUGUUUUCUUCCCGAUGUAAUAAAGCUGUUCCAAUCUCUAAGCUAUAAUAGUGACGCCGAGCACGAGAGCACCGCCAGAGUGUGGACGUGAGAAGUUAAAAGGUUGAGUAUUUGUAACUACCAAAGGGUUCUGUUGUUUGAUGAUAUUGGUGCUUGCUUAUGUGAAAUACCUAAACACUCUUAUAUACUGCCUCAAUUCUAUAAUUCUUGUCAUAGUUUUAGUUUUGACCUAAAAGCACAACAAGAAUUACGGAACGGAGGGAGUUUUUGGAUUUGGAAGUUUAUGUGUCGACCUCUUACACAAAUCCUAUAUGUAUGUGAAAUACCUAAACACUGUCCCGAAAAUAGAAAAACUAAACACUCUUAUGUGCAAAAAACAAAAAUGUUUGCAUGUCAUCAAAGUCUGUUUAUAGGAAUCCAAGAAAGACAUUUAUUUGCUACUCCAUUUGCUUCUAAAUAUAAAUCCUUUUAGAGAUUUUAAUAUGGAUACCAUAAGUAGCAAAAUGAGUGAAUCUAAACUCUAAAAUACGUUUGUAUACUUAUGUAUGUAGUCCAAAUUAAAAUCUCUAAAAUCCUUAUAUUUAGAAUGGGAGGGAGUCGAACAUAAUUUCGUUUUCUCUUUUCAAGUUGUAAGAGACAGUUGACAUGUCAUUGUGUUUUAUUUUGGCACCAUUUUUCGACAAGUGCAUCUAUUAUCUAUUGGGUCCUUGUUGGCAAGUGAAAUCCACGUUCUUCAUGUAUCCCCUUUUCAAAGCGAACUUACAUUUGUGUGUAAUGAAUAAAAUGCAAAUUGUAUCAGGAGUCCUUAAACUACCACAACCUUCUUACUUGCCUUUUAAUUUUUUUAUUUUGAGACUCCGUAAUCUUUUGUCCAUUUCUCCCAUGACUCCUUUUAACCAUCAGACUAAAAAAUUCCGUUUGAGCCAUGGGCACAAGGGUGAGAAUAUCAUACGAGAAACUAAACAGGUUUACAAGGGCCCAUAAUAUCGCCGAAAAUAAGAGAGCCAACUGAGAAGUUGUGAUAGCCCCCACCACCACCCACACACACACUAAAGAGCAUCGAUAGAUUAGGAAGUAUCGUGGUACGAGGAAUAUAUAAGUUUGCAACACUAAUGGAAAAUUAGUAUUUGUUUCUCUUCUACUGUCUACUGAAAUAGGAUGUUCUUUUCAUCGCCCCUCCUAGCCUAGAGACCCUCAUCCGAUUUGAUACCUUCCUCCCAACUGCCUAUCAAACUUUGGUCAUUUUGCUUGCUGCUAUGAUGUUGGUUUCCAUUUUGAGGUUCCAAAAUAUAUUGGGAACUACUAAAAUCGCUACUUAUUUGACAAAGCUAGGAUAAAGCUAAAGAUAAACACACUCAUUCCUCCUCCCCAAGAAAAGAACCAGGGCGAUCGGGUUUCCUCCUCCCGUCAGCGCCAUCGCCGGUUUGCCCCAUCUCUGAUGGCCUUUGGUCCGUCACUACUAGAAAAAGGGCUAUAGAUAAAAUUGACACUAAUGACGCACCAGAAAAGUGGUGUGCCACUACUAUAUACUAAUGGCGCACCAUGUGCCGAUGCGCCAUUAGUGUGGAAGACACUAAUGGUGCACCAGACACAAGGUGUGCCACUAGUAACAAUUUUUUUUUCAUUUUUUCAAACAUACUAAUGGCGCAUCCAGGCAAAGUGCGCCAUUACUAGUUCUAACUAGUAAUGGCGCACCAGCCAUAGAGUGCGCCACUACUGUAUUUUUUUUAUUCUUAUUUUUUGCAAAACUACUAAUGGCGCACCGUGGCACAGUGCACCAUUACUAGUUUACCCUAGUAAUGGCGCACUAUGCCACGGUGCGUCAUUAGUAUGUAUANNNNNNNNNNNNNNNNNNNNNNNNNNNNNNNNNNNNNNNNNNNNNNNNNNNNNNNNNNNNNNNNNNNNNNNNNNNNNNNNNNNNNNNNNNNNNNNNNNNNNNNNNNNNNNNNNNNNNNNNNNNNNNNNNNNNNNNNNNNNNNNNNNNNNNNNNNNNNNNNNNNNNNNNNNNNNNNNNNNNNNNNNNNNNNNNNNNNNNNNNNNNNNNNNNNNNNNNNNNNNNNNNNNNNNNNNNNNNNNNNNNNNNNNNNNNNNNNNNNNNNNNNNNNNNNNNNNNNNNNNNNNNNNNNNNNNNNNNNNNNNNNNNNNNNNNNNNNNNNNNNNNNNNNNNNNNNNNNNNNNNNNNNNNNNNNNNNNNNNNNNNNNNNNNNNNNNNNNNNNNNNNNNNNNNNNNNNNNNNNNNNNNNNNNNNNNNNNNNNNNNNNNNNNNNNNNNNNNNNNNNNNNNNNNNNNNNNNNNNNNUUUGCAAAACUACUAAUGGCGCACGGCCAGCAGGUGCGCCAUUAGUAUGUUGGGCUACUAAUGGUGCAUGGCUGGGUGGUGCGCCAUUAGUAACCUGGGACCAGCUAGAUAUUUUGGACAGCCACACCUACACACUCACUUUUCCCACUUCAUUCCCUCCACCUCCUUCUCCAAGCUUGUCGGCUGCCUCCUUCUCCUCACCUCAUUUGCACCAUAGAUUCAUCAAAAUUAAGUGGUGAAAUUACCUUUUUUUUGAUAGGUAAGUAAGGGGAAAGCUAUCUUCAUGCUGUAGAUCUACUUUUUUUCUCCCUAACUCGCUCCAACAUAGUGCACAUGCACUUUUUGUGGCCUAACUAGAUCUAUGUAUGUUCGUGGUGUUGCAUAUAUAUUUGUGUUUGCAGGUACCGGUAUUUGAAAUGCGAUAGUUGCCAAUAUUUUGCCGGAAUGUUGAUUCAUUUCCUUUUCGGCGAGAAUUUUGGCACUAUGCAUUCUUUUUGGUCAUAUUUUUAGGGAAAGUCAUGCCAAAUUUUUUCUUGGUUCUAAAAUAUCGUUUUGCUCUACCUCGCAGGCGACCAUGGUCCGCACGAUGACCGAAGGCAUCGUGAAUAGGUUUUUGAGCUCCGCGAAGGCCGAGAUGCUUCAAAAGAAUGAGAUGGAGAUAAGAUGUCCGUGUCGAAGAUGCAAGCUGAAGAGCCUUAUUGCGGAACCGCAUUCCGGGCAGGUGCGGGACCACCUGCUCUUGCGUGGUUUCAUGGAUGACUAUCAGUGACAAGGUGAUGAAAAUGACUAUGAAGUCGUCGAUGGGGGCCGGGCAAGAAAUGAGGAAGGGCAGCAAGACAACCACCGCGGCUCGGGCGGGCGAGAAGACAAAGAAUCUCCAGGACAUGAUCACGACGGUGAUGCUGUACACAGUCAUCAUGUAGAAGAUGCCAGACAUGAUGAUGAGGAAGAUGCCGGAGCAGACGAAGGGCAUGAUCAUGAAGAUGAAGAUGCCGGCGGAGCAGACGACGAUGGACCAGCGAUGGGCUGGGUGCAGGACCCUCAUAUUCAAGAGCUGCUUCUCAAGCAGACGGAUAACGUAAGAGCUGCCGCCCGAGAGAAAGCCAAGCUGGAUCAACUGGAGAUAGACGCGGUUACUCCAUUGUAUGAAGGAUGCAGGACCGAAGAUACCCGCCUGAAAGUAACGCUCAUGGUCUGGAGAUGAAGGUAAAACACAAAAUGACCGACGCAUGCUUCGACGAGAACAUGUCAUUCUGGCAUGAACGUCUUCCCAAGGGGAACAAGUGCCCUACCAAUUUCGAGGAGGCGAAGAAAAUCGUGUGUCCUCUGGAUUUACCGCAUGUGAAAUACCAUGUGUGCAUGAACAAUUGCAUCAUUUAUCGGGACGAGCAUGCGGAGUCUACCAUAUGUCCGGUGUGCGGCGUCACUCGAUACAAGAAGAGGAAGAAAGCUCCUCGAAAAGUGGUGUGGUACUUUCCGAUCACUCCUCGUCUGCAGCGGUAUUUUGCAGACCCUAAGGUAGCAAAGCUCCUGCGUUGGCACGCGGAUAGGGAGGAGAAGAAGCGAGAAAAUGACGCAAAUGAUCCGGAGAUAAAUAAAAAAGACAAGAUGCUGAGUCACCCUAAGGAUGGGAGCCAGUGGCUAGCGUUGAACUUCGAACACCCAGAAUUUGGGAAGGAUCCAAGGAACAUCAUGCUGGGCGCGAGCACUGAUGGAGUCAAUCCGUUUGGCAGCCACAGAAGCACACAUAGCACCUGGCCUGUGUUUGUAUGGAUGUACAACCUUCCCCCUGGUUAUGCAUGAAGAGGAAGUACAUUCACAUGAGUAUGCUAAUUGAAGGGCCGAAACAACCAGGGAACGGCAUCAAUCUGUAUCUGGGGCUGCUGAAAGAGGAGCUAGACACGCUGUGGAAAAUGCCAGCCAAUACGUGGGACGCCGCAGAGAAAGAAUAUUUCCCUAUGAGAGCCGCACUGCUCACGACGGUGCACGACUAUCUCGGUUACGGAUAUCUCGCGGGGCAGGUGGUCCACGGAUUUUUUGGAUGCGUCAGGUGCAUGGAUGACACAACGUAUCGCCAGCUAGAUAGAGAUCCCGGGUCUUCGAAAACCGUCUUCAUGGGACAUCGAAGGUGGCUUCGCGACGAUGACCCGUGGAGGAAACGCAAGGAUCUGUUCGAUGGUGAAACCGAACCCCGAAGACGCAAGGAUCCGGACAACGACGGUACAUUUACCAACGUCGAUAAGUACGUUGCCGAACAUGGGACGGUGACGAGUUCUGCGGGCCUCCUUCUCAGGAACCCAACCAAGACGACCGCGAUCUAGCUGGUACGGCAGAGAAACCCAGUUGCAACAGGCGUCGUCUGGCGUUCAGUUCUCAGGAGAUGCCUCCAGCUGCCGCCUUCACCGAGCCUCAGAUAGCUGAGGUGCGAAAUAUUAUCAGUCCCAACACGCUCAAGAAGGCGGUCUCUGAGCAGAACUCGGUCCCAUUACAGCAGAUCAAGAAGAAGAGCCGGAAACAAAAGACUAAAAAGGGCGCCGGUGCGAGCCAGCCGGCACCGAGUACGAUCCGUGCUCAGGAUGGGCCACCUUCAUCUAAGGAUAUCUCGAGGAGGGUGCAUGUGGCGGGUAGGGCGAUGCUACCGACAAAUAUUCUCAAUGCUGCACCCGGUGCUAUGCGGAGUCUGCACGACAGUGUUCUUUCUUUGGAGAAGCAGCGUCUCAGAGAGAAUGAUGUGGCAUACCCAGUUUUCGUGGCCAAGGUGCUAGAGGGCAAGGGCUUUGUGGAUGGCGCCGUCGGGGGUACGAUCGUCCUGCGGUUUGAUGACAUCUUUGCUAUGUUUAACCUUCAUCUGCUGCACUACACCUUCGUUCGGUUGUUUUCGCUGAGUAUGAAGAUGCGAAUCAUUAGAGACAAGACCCCGGACAUCAUGAUAGUUGACCCCUUCUACAUGCGUGCCAAGCUCUUGAGCAGCGUCGGGGACCGCCAAUUCACGAGUUCACACCUCGAAGGCGUCAUUCUGGCAAACCCAGAUAAGGAUAACUUCCUUGUGGCUUACUUUCCCGAGUAAGUCAUCCCUUAACCGCCCCGUAACAUAUGAUUUCUUAGAUUUCGAUCGUUCUUUUUUUCUAACAUUCUGUGUUAUGUGCAGUGACACACAUUGCACACUCAUCCUCUUAAGCCCGAAAUAUUCCAUGACCACGUAUUUCGACUCAAACCGUGGCUCCAAGAUAGACUACACAAAUAUCAAGAAAGUUCUUGAUGAUGUUCUCCCCGGCUACGCCAAAUCUGGAGGCACCUUCACCAGGGCAGUUCAUAAGUACGGCAAGCAUGUGUUCGCCCACAAUACUAAGUUUUGCUGCGUCAAGCAGCCGCCUGGCGGUCAGAAGGAUGCCUACUACGCCCUCCAUCACAUGUGGGCGGUCGUAAGGGACCAUCAUCACCUUCUGCUACAAGGUAAUCUCAAAGAUUGGGCCGCGAGCUUGUCGGCAAUCCAGGACGCGGACAUCAGACAAGAAUUCUUUCGCAUCCAGUCGGAGUUUACGGACAUCAUCCAUCAAGAUGUCCUUCAUACCUCGGGGCAGUUCUACCUCAGAUAUCAACCGUCCAACAGUGAGAUAGACGGAACGCUACAAAUGCAGGCUGACAACGCCCGCGAUUUCAUGACCAUCACGACAGACGGCGGCUUCAUCCACGCUCCUGUCCCAUGAGUCGAGUCGAAAGUAGUGAUGUGUAGUUCUGAAACAUUGAUUGGCUCAUGUUGUAAUUAAACUUUAAUGAAUUGUAUGUCUCUUUGGUUUGGACAGUUGUUCAACUUAGAUGUAAUCAAUGCUAUUUAUUAGUAGGACCAUGAAUCGUGCUAUUAAUGUCUUGCUUUUCUCUUUCGAUCCUUUUGUUGCAUACUUAUAUAUUGCUUAUGUAUGGUCUGUUGUUUGGCUUGUGCAUAGAGAUGCCGUCGUAUGUCGUGUACAAGGGUAAGGUUCCCGGAGUCUACGAUGACUGGAAGGAGUGUCGGAGACAGGUUCACCGUUUUAGCGGUAACAGUUACAAAGGGUACACCACUAGGGCGGAGGCGGAAUCUAGAUACGCCCGCUAUCGAGCGGGAGAGAGAUGAGGGAGCGUUGGAGGAACCGGAUGAAGACCAGUUUCAUCGCGAUGAUGCUCGUCAUGAUGACCGCAACUCUCUUCUAUGUGAUGGUAGUUUAGAUGAUCGAUAUCAACUUGUAAUGUGAAGACAAACUCGAUACUCGCGGUCUCGAGACUUGUAAUGUUUUAUCUUUGUUCGGUCUUUUGAAUUCGGAGACUAAUAUGAUGAAUUGUAUUCGGAGACUAAUCUUCUACUGUAUUCGAUGAAUCUGCUGUUGCUGUGUACUGUUGUCUAUAUUCUGUCCAAUAAUAUAUUUUGUAACCUGUGCAAAAAUCAGAAAAGUAAAAAAAGCCUAGUAUUCAUACUAAUGGCGCAUCACCUCAAGGUGCGCCAUUAGUAUGCCAAAGGAUACUAAUGGCGCAUCACUACAGAGUGCGCCAUUAGUACGCCAAAGGAUACUAAUGGCGCAUCACCCCACAGUGCGCCAUUAGUAUGCCAAAGCACAUGGUUAAAUAUGGCCCCCUGGGAGGCAUACUAAUGGCGCAUGGUGUUCUAUACUAAUGGCGCACUGCGUGGUGCGCCAUUAGUAAAAAAUUAUAGUGGCGUGAUACUAAGGCGCACCAGUAGUGCGCCAUUAGUAGGAAAAACUGGUGCGCCAUUAGUAGACCUUUUCCUAGUAGUGCGUGAAGGUGCGAAGGACCUCGACCCUCCGCCGGCAGGAGGGACCCCACUCUCGUUCUUGUUAGGUUCAUCCUCUUGGUUGGGGUUAUAUGAUGGUGGCGAUGUCCCUCAAUAGGAAUCAUGUUGGUCACAUUCAAUCCCCAUCCCCAUGGUGCAUCUACAAUCGUUGGAGGGCGUUUGGAGGUGUGUAUUCACCAGAUCUCCCGGGAUUCAAUCGGUGCCGGUCUUUAGAAGAUCUAUUUUAAUCUAGUAUUUCUUUGGGUGCUUAUGACGUUUGAUCCUUUCGAUCUACGAUUCUCUUCAUCGGUGAUGGUUGCUACUCCAGUGUGUUGGUCCUUUGGGGUUUCAGCACGAUGACUUCCUGGCUGUCUACUAUAACAAGAUUUGCGAAACUCAAGUGAGGGAGGGGCGAUGACGGCGUCGUGCCUUUGGCUUGAUCUAGUGAUUGUAGUCGUUCCUAGGUGAUAAUUUUCUUAUAAUUUUUGUGGCCUCUGAUGUUCUCUUUACUCAUGAUUGAUUAUGAAUAGAUCGAAAGUUUCUCAUGUAGAAACUACAUAGUUUAUCUUUUGGAUUUUUUACACGGAGGCCUUGGCCUCAAUCAACUAAUUAAAUAGAACAGAGUUGUCAUGUUAAUUUGGGUAAAAUCAGGCGAAAACCGAAAUUAUGCGCACAAAGGCCGAUCGUCAUGUAGCAUGACAAUUGCCAAUAGGGAAUCCCCAACCAAUAUUACUACGACACAAACUUACAGAUACGCCGGUAAUAAGAGAACAACCGUCAAGACUGCCCAUAAGCACCAAGGUCAUCACCAACCGCCUUUGAUCCAGCUAGUCCGACUUUGCCACAUACAAUCACCAACGAUGCUAUCCUCGCGACAUCUGUCCAAGCACCGUAGCGCCAACAAUAGGUACUCCAACUUUGACAACGAGGUUUACAAGAGAAAUAUGCAAGGCAUGCGCUGCCCUAGCCCCCCGAUAUGGGCACCUUCAUAUUUCAUUCUCACCAGCAAAACCACCACGCCAGCUCCAACUUCGCAAGGAAUGAUGAAACCCGAAAAGACCCAUCGGACAAAUCCAAAAGGUUUAAUGCCGAAGCAUGCAAAAAUUAUGCAGAACCUCAGUGUUGUCAUCAUCGCUAAACAAACCAUGCUGUACGGAUCCAGAGUAGUCUCCUUGGCAUCCACGCCGAACAAUCGAUCCAGUCCCGGCUCUAGCAAUCGAACCGUGGACAUCCAUGUUGACCCCUAUACUCACACGAAUUGUAUUCGAGUGAACCUUUGGUUACCAUAUUCUAUUCCUUUUGCUUUAUGAUACUUUACAAAAAUCCAGGUCAGAUAUAUCGGCAUCCCGGAUACCCCCCCGAAAUGUCUCCUGCACACAGGUCUGAGUGAGUGUGAGGGCGGCAACCCACAACCUCGCCAGUGAUCGCUCUGACACCGGCGGCCACCAUCGAGCCCUGCUGCCAUCACCUUCCCGGCGGCAAGGGCGCCCAACACCACUCGCCAGUGGCCACCCUGUCGUGCCGCCGCCAACGACCUUGCUGCUGCUCGAGCGACGAUCGCCCUGUCGCCGACGGCCGCCAUCGACAGCCGACCUCCCGUUGCUGGUGAUCAUCAUCGUCCACGACCGGCUCUGCAGUUUAGCUCCUCCAAGUAGGACAAACGCCAGAGAGGCUAGCAGGUUUGCUCUUUGCCCUAGUUUGCCGCGUCUGUUGUCCACCAAGCCCACCGCUGUUAGCAGUCAUUCCGAUCCACCCUGCUCGUUCUCCCACCCUUAGUAGUCAGUACACUCUCUCCAGCUCAUUUAUUUAUUCCAAGAGCUCCCUCUCUUGAUGCAUGACAACCACUGCUUCUGUAGACUUGAUUAGAUCCUAGCUUGCUGCUCUCCCCGUACGACUAAGCUUGUAGUAAUAGCUCUUUCACGCCCUUGGGGAGGUUUGUUUCCUUGCAUGCAUGAUGAGCCCUAGCUCGUCCUCGAGUUCUGGAAGAUAUGAACACGCCUGACGAUGUAGGCUUUAGAGAAGCCAUGCAGCCACCGGACGAAGAGGGGCCUGUUUUGAGAGUUGCAUGCUCGAGCGGUACAACUAUGGUACUGUCUCGGUCAUUGCCGGAGCCAGAUGCCCCGCCGUGCUGCAUGCCGCCUGUCGGUGUCAAAACCGGCGAAUCUCGGGUAGGGGGUUUCGAACUAUGCGUCUAAGGCGGAUGGUAACAGGAGGCAGGGGACACGAUGUUUUACCCAGGUUCAGGCCCUCUUGAUGGAGGUAAAACCCUACGCCCUGCUUGAUUAUUCUUGAUAAUAUAAGUAGUACAAGAGUAGAUCUAUCACGAGAUCAGAGAGGCCAAACCCUACAAGCUAGCCUAUGGUAUGAUUGUAUGUUAUCCUACAGACUAAAACCUUCCGGUUUAUAUAGACACCGGAGGGGGCUAGGGUUACACAGAGUCGGUUACAAGGAAGGAGAUCUGCAUAUCCGUACUGCCAAGCUUGCCUUCCACGCCAAGGAGAGUCCCAUCCGGACACAGGACGAAGUUUUCAAUCUUGUAUCUUCAUAGUCCAACAGUCCGGCCAAAGGAUAUAAUCCGGCUGUCCGGAUACUCCCUAAUCCAGGAGUCAGGACUCCCUCAGUAGCCCCUAAUCCAGGCUUCAAUGACGAUAAGUCCAGCGCGCAGAUUGUCUUCGGCAUUGCAAGGUGGGUUCCUCCUCCGAAUACUUCAUAGAAGAUUUUGAACACAAGGAUCGUGUCCGGCUCUGCAAAACAAGUUCCACAUACCACUGUAGAGAGAAUAAUAUUUCCACAAAUCUGAUCUGCUGAUGUACCCCGUAGCGUGGCAUCACACCACAGCCAGGUCUUUAUUCGAAUCGUUUUUCAUAACCUAUCUCAGCGUGUUUCGUGAGGCAGUUUCCUUGGCACGUCUUGUCGAAGCAGAGAUCGUGUCCCCUUAUUACGGGAUUCCCAUCAAUAUGGACGUGGGUAACCCAACCACACCAUCAAUUACGGCGCUUGGGGAUAAGCGAGUUUUACCAGGCUGGUGGGGGCGCAUAGUUUCGUCCGCCCUUAUAAAGGGAUAAGGUUUCACUUUGUUCUACCCAUGCCUUCUUCCUCCUUGCUCAUCCAUUUUCGCGCACUCGAGCUCCAGCGCCCAAGUCCACGUCCUUCUCCUCAACUCUCUCCAAACAUGUCCGGAGCGGGAGGCAAGUGGAUGGCCUCCUCCGUCACGGAGGGUCACAUCAAAAACUACGUGGAGCCGAAUACUUAGCCGCGGAUAUCGCGCACCGGCUGCCAGCCGUGGGGCAGAUCGUCCCUACCCCGGAACCUCACGAAAGGGUGGUUUUCCUCCCCCACUUCGUCCACGGACUAGGGUUUCCCCUCCAUCCAUUCGUCCGCGGCCUCAUGUUCUAUUAUGGGCUGGACUUUCAUGAUCUGGCCCCGAAUUUCAUCCUCAACAUCUCGGCGUUCGUCGUCGUGUGCAAGGCUUUCCUCCGCAUCCGGCCCCACUUCGGCCUAUGGCUGAAGACCUUCAAUAUCAAGCUGAAGGUAGUAGGCGGCCAACAAGCGGAAUGCGGCGGGGCCGCUCGAGGGCUCCUUUGUGGAGACCAUAAAGGGUGGCAAUCGGGGUGGUUCUACAUCACCGAGCCGUGCGACACCAACUGGGUGGCGGCCCCUGAGUUUCGAUCCGGAAUCCCCACAUGGCUCACUUCCUGGAAGGAGAAGGGCCUGUCUUGGGGCUCAUCGGUGGAGCUGGACGGACUCCAUAAGUGUAUCCGGAACAUGACAAGCAAGAAACUUAAGCUUGUCAACAUAGUCCAGGUCAUGCUCUUCCGCCGGAUCCUCUCGUGUCAACAACGGGCUUUCAACUUAUGGGAGUUCGACCCGGCCCAGCACCAGACUCUAUGCGAGCUCUUCGACAUGAUGCAUAAGAACGUCUGGAAGGUGCUGUUCAAGGGCGUCGAGGUCCCCCUUCUCUUACCGAGGGCCGCGAGCUAAGCGCGAAGCGCCCUGCAAAUCCGGUAAGUUCUGUACAUCUGGUAGGGUAUUUAUUUCCCAUAGCUUUAACCAUGUGCGGGGUCUGAGCUCCCAUGCCUUUGACAUGACUGGGUGGAGACAUCGGAGCAGAUUAACUGUCCGGCCCCUCUGCCCGAAGACCCUGCAGACACUCUCCUGACGGAGAUGCGGACUCCGGCUCCUUAUGAGGUGCCGGAGAAGACCAAGAAGAAGGCCACGUGAACCCGAAAGAGUUCCCGGCGCCAGGUGGUAUCGGACACAUCGUCCGAUAACUCCGAGACACACUCCUCCUAUGAAAACGAGGAGAAGGAAGAUGUAGAUUCUCCCCCUCCAGCCGGGGGAGACAAGAAAAGGAAGGCCGCCCCAACCGGGGAGGCCGAAGGGUCCAAGAAGGGAAGGACUCUCCUUCCGGACUGCUCCACCACCGCCGUCGACAGCGAAGACGAGUGGCUACUCAGGGCCAAGCCCCUAGUGAAGUCGUAAGUAUUCGGAUACCAGAGUAACUCAUAGCAUACUUUUGUUGCACUGCUUCUCCUAAUGUCGAAUAUGAUUAUGCGAUGUAUGCUCGUCGGACGGUUCCUUGGACUCGUCGGAUAUGGAUAGUGAUACACUUCCAACCGCCUCCUCUCCUUGCCCUACGGGCAAUGUCGAGGUAUUGUCUCAAGGGGCACCGAGCCGGGGGGAGGUAGUUCCGGAGGUGCCUCAAGAUGAACUUCCGGACUCCAGGCGUGAAGGGAGCAAGACUCCCCAGGGCUCCAAGUUCGGCCCCCAGCCGAACGCCGCGCCAGAACCUCCAGUGGUUCCGGACUCUGGCAGGCGGCCCCCUUCCAAGAGGGGCAAGCCGCCCGUGCCGAUGACCUCUGUCCAUCCAAAGGCACCGGACAACCUGCUAGGAGCGCUUCGCGGCGCUUCCAUCGACGAAGAGCACCGCACUAUUAUGAGUGCGGUGAUCAAGAAGGUUCAGUCCGCCAAGAGCAGACUGACUGAAGCAUGUGCCAUCCUUCUAACAGGCUUUGAGGUAAGUAUUUUAAAUAUAGGAAAAUAUUACCGCAUAAAAGUAGCCCCUGAUGCUCUGUUUGGUGUUCACAAAGAAAAGCCGAAUAGAGGAUCAAAUAAUAUCUGCAGGAGUCUAAUAUAAGUAUGUCUGUAUGCGUAUGUCAAAUUUUACGUAGUGAAUCAAUAGGAAUGUAACUAUUUGAAUUUGAAACAUAAUUUAAUUAUGAAAUGAUCGUAAGAUUACCUCGAGUGAAGAAUAACUUAUUUUGCACCCUGGGUGAUGAAUAGUAACACUAUAUAUAUAUAUAAAUACUAUUCUGAUCACGGGAUCAGAAUAAUAUUCUGAUCACAACAUGAACUUACCGAGUACCGCGCCUGACCUUCCCCGAGUACUAGGUUGAACUUAAGCUAAAAGGUGUCCAAAUGGGGCUUGCGAUAUACCAUUGGAAAGCUAUAGACAUCAGUAUCAUGACCCAAUUUAAAUUUUUGGCAAAAUGUAAGCGGUUUAAGAGCAGUUUUGAAAAUCGUUUUUUCUUCAUACAAAAAAUGCGAAUCGUAUUUUCGACCGCAUUUUAAACCAUUUAUCGGAAUGAGGCAAAUAAUAUGGCGUUGGAAAGCUGCUGAAAAACCGCUCCUACCACUUGUUGAAAGUUUUCUCUAAUUCCCUAUUGUUAAAGAGUAAUUCGGAAAAUCAUAGAAUUUCGCAAAUGAAACACCCGAGUUUGUAUUUUUGAUGCUAUUUCUAAACAGCUAAUCCAAUCGAGGCAAAUAAUAUGGCGUUGGAAAGCUUAUGAAAAUGCGCUACUUUUUCAUGUUAAAAGUUUUUUCUAAUUUUGAACGGUUUAAAAGUAAUUUAGAAAAUGGUACAAGUUCCACCAAGUUCGUAUUUUCGAGCUAAUUUUUUAACAGUACGUCCAAAUGCAGCAAAUGAUAUGGCGUUGGAAAACUUGAAGAAAUGUGAAACUUUUUUGUAGAUAUUGUUUUUCCUAAUUCAUUACGGUUUUAUGUCAGUUUUGAAAAUGGCUAAAAACAUAUUUUUGCCGUAAUUUCUACAAACUUUAUCAGAAUGGGGCUAAUAAUAUACCGCUGAAAAGCUACGGAAAUUCGAAACUUUUUCAUGUUGAUGGUUUUCUAUGAUUCCUUGCCGUUUUCAAGUAAUUUCAAAAAUGACGAGAUCGUUCGUUCUGCCUUUAUCGCGAAACAGAUUCUUCGAAAAUGCACCGCGUGAAGAACCUGAACUUCUCGGUAUGUCUACUUAAACUUCACUCUGUUUUUCACGUACUUUUUUUGCCCGUAGCUCUCCAUCCACUGCUCGUAGCUCUCCAUCCACUCAUCGGAAUUGAGCAAGUGAUAUACCGAUGGAAAGCUGCUGUAAACACGCAACUUUCCCGUGUUGAUCGUUUUUCAUACUCGCGACAAUUUUAAAAGUUUUUCAUCUCAAUUUCAUUCACUAUAGUAGUCAAACUUCUUGUUGUUUUCAUGUUGAACUUCCGUGACAUAUUUUCGUUUGUAAUUUUCUCAUCCAUUUCAUCAGUGUGUACACAAAUGAUAUUCUUUUUGUACAAACCUAUCUCACAAUAUUUUUUUAACUUUCUCCGACUGAGGACUUGAACUUACCCAAAUGAUAUUCCUAUCAUUUUGAAGUAAAUUAGAGAAAUGACGAGAUCAUGAUUUCUGCCUUCAUUGCGAAAGGAAACGCACUGCGUGAAGUAGUUGAACUUCUCGGGCAUGUCUGUUUGAAACUCACUCUGUUUUUGACGUGCUACUUUUUGCACCGCGUGAAGUAGUUGAACUUCUGGGGCAUGUCUGUUUGAACAUCACUCUGUUUCACUUUAUUAUUAUUUUAUAUUAUAUGAAAUACACACCAUGUAGUACGUGAACUUCUGGUUAUUAUCACUUUGCACUUCUCUCUAGUUUGAGAGAAUUGUUUUAGAAACACAAAAAACAACAUAUUUUUUAUGUAUUUUGGACAUCUAAAUACACGGUGAACCUCUCUCACAAGAAUUUGUUGAACUUUUCCUCACUGAGCACUUGAACUUCUAGCAACCAUUUUUUCAUUUAUGAGUUGUUUUUAAAAGUGCAAAAAAUGGUGUUGUGUUUUCAUUUUUUGAACAGGUAAAUCCUAGGUUUAAUAAACUCUGAACUUCUCUAUUAUUUCAAUAUGAACUUCACCUUUUUAUAUUUUGAGUAAAGAAUUGUAUUUGAUUUUUAUACGGAAAAAGUCAAACAUGGAAAUAUAAGGUGAACCUCUCUCGCAAGAAUUUUUGAACUUCUCUAGACAUAGUACUUGAACUUGUUUCAACAAAACUUUUAAGUUUUUAUUUUUCUAUACUUUUAUUUCUCACCUAAAUGCAUUCCUUACAGUACUUGAACUUCUCAUUGUCUUCACUAUGAACUUCUGUCACAUUUUAGUGUGUACGUCGAAUUACAUACAAUUGAAGGCCGGACGUCAUUUUUUGCCAUCUUCAAACAUGUAAUUGGAUGUCGGACUUCCCGCAAUUAAAUUCUAAACCAUGCACGGAGGAGUACGGGAACUUCUUGCAACAUACCUUUUAAGAUUUUUGUUUUCUAUUCCGUGUAAUAGUUGAACUUCUCACUGUUUUCACCUUGAACUUCUGUCACUUAUUUUUGUUCAAGCUCUCUCAUAAGAAUUUUUGCACUUUUUUCAUACGGAAUGCCCACCGUGUAGUACGUAAACUUCUGGCGGUUAUCAACCUGAACUUCUCUCGGUUACGUGAAAAUAUCUGAGUUUUUUUAAAACAUUGAAGCGCUCCACCUAUUUUAACUUGAACUUCUUGGUUUUAUUAUUUGAAGCGGGAAAAUCCAUUAUUUUCAUAUAGAUUAAACUACUUCGUUAUGUUUAAUUUGAACUUCUUGGUUUUAUUUUUGAACACGAAAAAGUGGGAAUAUUUAUUAAGAUCGAACUAAUUUGUUAGUUUAAUUGAACUUCUUGGGUUCUUUUCAGAAAUAGAAAAAUCUGAAUUUUUAUUACGUUUCUAAAGAUCCAUUUUUUUCACGAUCGAACUACUCUUUUAUUUAAAUUCAAACUUCUCGAUUUCUUAACUAUGACUUCUCUUGAUUCUUGUACAUGUACCUCUCCGAAUUUUCCAUUGAGUCUUGUACCUUUUUACCUUAAAUUUUUUGUUCAACUACUCAUUUUUUAUCCAUAAUGAUUGGACUAUCGACACCAUAUACUUCAUCAUCGAGUCAUAUAUAGUCAUGAAUCUUUUCUGUUCCGCACUACAAAUCACACGAAGUAAUCAUGAAUGUUUGAAAAAUCAAAAUUCUUAUAUAUCGCGCUCAACCAGUAAAAGACAACUUAAAAUCAUACUUGCUUUGACUUUUUAUAAUAUACCUUGGCCUUUUUCUCGAUGUGACGACGUACUCGCCCAAAACUAAAGAUAGAGUUUUUAAUAAAGAUUCAUGAACUUAGAGUGUUUUUCAUUUUGUUUUUUAAGAUACAUGCUUCAUUUAAAUUAGUUAUUUUGUUUAUUUUUCAAACUCAGAAUUAUGCUUCUCAUUCCAACUUCACCGAAGAUAUAUUUUUUACUUUCGAUGUUACAUGUCUUCAGAGGUUCUAUUUUGAAGAUUUUAGUGCUUUUGACCUCCCUUGCUUUUUCACAAUGAACUUCGUCUUUAUUUAUUUUUAUUCUAUAGUGUUCUAAUUUUUCCAAAUCUCCAUAUUUCAUGUCUCCAAACUAUUAUUUUUUAUUAAAUGUCCUUUGAACUAUGUUUUUCAUAAAUGCGUGAAAUUUGUAAUGUCAUUUUGUGACUAGUUGGGUUUGGUAGUAACUCUCGUAAAAUCAACAUCCAUCAGCCAAAGAACUUUAACUAAACUAUUCAAAAGGAAACUUUAACUAGUACACUGUUCUCGUAAAAUCAACACACAUCAGUCAAAACACUUUGAUACAAGUAGCACUAGAAGUACCACAUACGUUCCUUUCAAACAAAUACAAUAUUCUUUUUAUACACAAAGCUGUACUUGCUUUUACACCACACAUUUCGGUCCUUAUCUCUCCAUCUUACCUCCUGGAAUAGACCACAACCACACGUUUAUUUUUUGUUCUCUCUCUGCUCAGUGUAACUUGUCUUUGCUCAUGGAUACGAAACUAGUUAACUGAAUGUAGCAACCCGAGCUAGAGAAGAUCAUGUUAACAGCUGGUUUAGGCGGCCGACGAACAUGGUCAGACCAACUCUUCGACCUUGUAAACCCUGUACUUCACGGGGUGGUGGCCAGCAUCCCCGCUGGAGAAAGAUGAAUAUGUCGAUCUGCUACUUCUUCAGAGUUUGACCUGCAUAGUUCUUCAGAGUCUGACCUACUACAUCAUCACACAGGAUGGAGCGGACAUGCUCGUCUUGGUGGGUAACCUCCACGCUGAGGAGGUAGGUGUCCUCGAACGCAUCUGCUGCGGUAGGAUGGUCUCGGUGUAGAUGAACCGACGACAACUGCGAUGGAGAAAAGAACGAUGAGGAGAGAUGGCUAUCCGCAUGGACUGCUCACGAGCGAGAUGGCGGACUGCCCACACAAAAUGGAGGGGCUGACGACUUGUGUAUGGUGCAGGUCACAGCGGCGGGGCAGAUAGCACACCGGCCGCAACUGCUUGGGGAAGCUGCAGCCAAGUUGUGGGGGAGGAAAGGGAAGCGGUGCAUGGAGCUAUGCAUAGCGCAUCACGGGGAUGUGGUGGCGACAUAGGGUGGCGCACUGGGUGGCGGCGGGUUUCAGGAGGCCGGCGGCGCACGAGGUGGUGGCGAGUUUCGGGAGGCCGACGACGCGCGGUGUGGCAGCGGGGUCCUGAAGCUCAUCGGCGCACAGGGUGGCGGCGGGAUCCCGAACGAGGUGCCCGAGCGGCGGUUGGGGAUGGAGGCAACCGCUGCGGUGGUUGCGGGAGGAGGCGGUCGGGAGGCGCGAUGUGCCGGGGGCGGUGGUUCGCCAGCGGUCCGCGUGUGGGGGCGCGUGGGGUGGAUCUGCGUCCAUGGGAGAUGUGGGGAACGGGAGGUGGAAGACAAUUGUGUGGGCCGGUUCUUUUGUUUGUCGGGAGUUUGGAAACACCCAGUCGGGCCUAUAUAGGACCAGCCAUGAUCCAAAUAGUUAUUUUGAUCCUGGGAUUAGAAUAGUGUCACUAUAUAUAUAUACAAAAUGAUAGGAUCAUCAUGGAUGUGCCAUGGGCCACGACCGAAGUGGCGACACUGAAGCGAGCACUGUCCGAGGCCGAAAACAAAGCGGCCAAGGAGCGCACCGAGCGGGAAAAACAAGAGGCGCGGGUGGGCGAGGUGCAGUAAGAGCUCCAGGCUCUUGUGAAGAAGCACGAGGCUUUGGAGCUUGACUCGAAGACGUGAGAGUCCGAGCUUGCCGCGGCCCUCGAGAGGACAAAGCAUGCAAGGCUGAAGCCCAAAAGGCCCUCCAAGAGAUUGAGGCAAUGAGGAAGAUAGCGGCGGGUAAGGCAUUCAAUAUGCAAAGCAAACACGUGAAAGUAAAUUACUUAUUACUUACCCGAGUCCGGAGCUCUCCAGGAGCAUUCACAGAUUUGCCCCGCAGCGUGUCGGAUGCCGCGAAAUAUUACCAGGCCGAGGAGGGAAGCUCGACGGAGAAAUUUUUCUGGUCUCAGUAUACUGGGACCGAACACCCAAUGCCUAUGAGCGACCAGCUGAAGCAACUGGUCGAGCUGCACAAGGCGGCCGAACAGGCCAUGAGGGGCCUUAUAGUCCGGAUGUGGCCUAGCGACUCCCUUCCCAACAGCUACUUCGGCCUGGUGAGGCGGCUUGUGGAUGCCUGCCCAUGGCUGGAAGUCAUAAAGCGGUCCGUUUAUAUCGAAGGUGCACACCGGGCUUUUGCCCGUGCGAAGGUGCACUAGGCCAAGAUGGACGCCGAGAAGCUGGUGAAGGAGGGGCCGCCGCAGGGCAAGGAGCAUCGCCACCCCGAAAUGUAUUAUGAGGGUGUCCUGGAAGGUGCCCGUCUUGUGGCGGACGAGUGUGCGAAGGUUGUAAUUUUUGAAUGAACUUGCUCGUGUGAUCCUGUACUAUGAAAACUUGUUCAUAUGCGCUAUGCAAUGCUUGUUUAAAUUUAAAAUAUUACCUUCUGUGCGGCUGUUUAUCAAAUUUGAGAGAUGGCCAGUCGUCGGCUUCUACCCCUAUGCCAUGAGUGUUGGGGUGUUCGGGAUAAACCUGAGCACUCUUUUUCCCAUUGUUGGGUCCUUCGAGGGAGGUGCUCAGCACAACGAACAAGGCAAUCAGACUAUAAUGCUUUAUCACUCUCACUUAGCCAUAGAAGUCUACAAUUUUAAAUUUUGGUGAAGCCCCUAGUAUUCGGAAGGCCAAAUUCGGGGCGCUAUACACGCCUUAAGCCGGACAAAGCCGACUCCUCGCUCUAAGCGGCAUAAGUCUUGAGGAACUCGAGACCUCUCGAACAGCAACCAGCUCUUGCCUUAUCAUGGCAGUCAGUUUUAGUUUUCUCUACUGAGGUGCUUGCCCAGAUGAACCGGGGCACAAUCGCAGUAGUUCUCCCAGUGCUACCUUAGCCGAUAUAGCGGAAUGUAAGGUACCAAAACAUGGGAGCCGGGCAAACCCAACUAUUGACCCAAGACAUGAUUCGGAGCUGAUGCAUAUAAUGCUAUAAGUUCGGGGUGCCGCACUGUCAAAAGUUUUCGGACUUCUCACGCCGUAUUAUGGGGUAAGCUUAAGCCCUUGGCGUAUUGGCCGUAUCAGAGUGUAUGGGUGUUGAAUGUCAUGAAUAUAUAUAUAUAUAUAUAUAUAUAUAUAUAUAUAUAAGAAGAAUAGAGAAUGCGAUAAUAGUCUAGUGCUAUGCAUUGUUUAUUCAAAAAGGUGCAUCGAAGCAGAAUGAUACAAGUAGUGCGAUAAGCAAAAAGUAGGACUAUUUGACAUGUCCCCUCCAAGGGCAAGCUGAGGAAUGGUAUUUAAAGCAGGUAUUUCACUCGUUAUCAUAGACCACCUGGGAAUUCCAUGAUGCGACGUAGCUUUCUGCCUCCUUGGUUGUUGUAUCGUGUGUCCGUCAAUCAUACUGCUGGACGGGGUUUCCAGAGAGUAAAGUCCUGAAAGAGAGAAAAAAAUAAUAAGGCGGAAAGCCCCUAGUGCGGUUGAGCCACGUUUUGGGACGUGUCGUAGUCGUGCCCCCCAUCUAUGCCCAUGGUAUUUUCAAUGCGUAAUUAUGUAUGCGUGGCUCGGAUUUCGCCGUUUGGCUAGGACUGGGGUGGGGGUCGCAUUGCUAUGCGAGCUCGGAAUGUGCCAGGCGGUCUUGUUGCCGAUUACUCCGGGCGCGCUUGAAGGUGUCCGGGUCUUUAAUCGCCGAACUGGUGGAUUGCCUUAAGAGGCUGGUUUGGGCUUCUACUUCGAGGGCCGUAGUGUGCUCCUCCGUGCGGAGAGAGCGCUCUGUGUUUCUAUUGACUAUGAUGACCCCCCCCCCCCCGAGGUCCUGGCAUCUUGAGCUUGAGAUAUGCAUAGUGCGGUACCACGUUGAAUCUCGCAAAUGCGGUUCGCCCGAGCAGUGCAUGAUAGCCACUACGGAACGAGACUAUAUCAAAGAUUAACUCCUCACUUCGGAAGUUAUCCGGGGAUCCGAAGACCACUUCUAGUAUGACUGAGCCUGUGCAAUGGGUCUCUAGACCUGGUAUGACGCCUUUGAAGGUCGUUUUUGUGGGUUUGAUCCUUGAGGGGUCUAUACCCAUUUUGUGCACUGUGUCCUGAUAAAGCAGGUUCAGGCUGCUGCCACCGUCCAUAAAGGACUCGAGUGAGGUGAAAUCCGUCGAUGAUUGGGUCUAGGACCAGUGCGGCGAAUCCGCCAUGACGGAUACUAGUGGGAUGGUCCCUGCGAUCGAAGGUGAUCGGACAGGAGGACCAUGGGUUGAACUUUGGGGCGACUGGCUCCAACACAUAUACAUCUCUUAACGCACGCUUCCGCUUCCUCUCAGGGAUGUGGGCUGCGUAUAUCAUGUUCACCGUCCGCACUUGUGGGGGGAACCUCUUCUGUCCUCCAGUGUUCGGCUGCCGGGGCUCUUCCUCGUCAUCACUAUGUAGCUCCUUAUCUUUGUUUUCGGCAUUUAACUUGCCAGCCUGCUUGAACACCCAACAAUCCCUGUUAGUGUGGUUGGCUGGCUUGUCGGGGGUGCCGUGUAUUUGACACGAGCGAUCGAGUAUACGGUCCAAACUGGACGGGCUCGGAGUGCUUCUUUUGAAUGGCUUUUUCCGCUGACCGGGUUUAGAGCCUUUGAAUCCGGCAUUGACUGCCGUAUCCUCGGUAUUGUCGCUGUUGAUGCGACACUUGUGUUUGUUGCGACGUGACCUGCUAUUGCUAUCCUUGGUAUCCGAAGUACCAUGGUUCUUUGAUAUGUUGUUGUUGUGAGCCAGCCAGCUGUCAUCUCCCGCGCAAAAGCGGGUCAUGAGUGUCGUGAGGGCUGCCAUAGAUUUCGGCUUUUCCUGGCCAAGGUGCCGGGCGAGCCACUCGUCGCGGAUGUUGUGCUUAAAAGCUACUAGGGCCUCUACAUCCGGACAGUCGAUGAUUUGUUUUUUCUUUGUCAGGAACCGUGUCCAGAAUUGCCUGGCCGAUUCCUCUGGCUACUGAAUUAUGUGGCUCAAGUCAUCGGCAUCUGGUGGUCGCACAUAAGUGCCCUGGAAGUUGUCGAGGAAUGCGGCUUCCAGAUCUUCCCAACAGCCAAUGGAUUCUACUGGCAGGCUGUUGAGCCAAUGCCGAGCUGGUCCUUUGAGUUUGAGUGGGAGGUAUUUGAUGGCGUGUAGAUCGUCACCGCGGGCCAUGUGGAUGUGCAGGAGGAAGUCCUCGAUCCAUACCGCAGGAUCUGUUGUGCCGUCGUAUGAUUCAAUAUUUACGGGUUUGAAACCCUCUGGGAUUUUGUGAUCCAUUACAUCGUCUGUGAAGCAUAGGGGGUGCGCAGCGCCUCUGUACUGGGCUAUAUCGUGACGCAGCUCAAAUGAGUCUUGUCCACUGUGUUCGGCUCGGUCGAAUUUACUUUUACUGUAUCCGGCGUGACGGUUAUCGUCUCGCAUAGUGGCGCGCACUCGUGAUCCGUAGAUCGAUCUUGCGUGUUUUGCUUUGUCAUCCAAUAUGUCUCGCAGGUCUGGUGUAUUUCCCCGUGCUUUGACAUUUUUAUUUGAGUGGCAUCGGGGUGCGGGCUGAGCUUUUGGCUGGAAUGCCUCUCUGUCACGGCCACGAGGUGGCCGAUCAGCCGCGUCAUACGCUAGAGAUAUAGGUUUUGGUGCUUCCUCCUCCAGUCGGGGUAGCAACCUGCGCUUUGGGUAACUCUUGGAGGGGCUUUCGAGUUUAUAUUCCUCGGCCGCAAGGACAUCAGUCCAUCUGUCAGCUAGCAAAUCUUGAUCAGCUUGAAGCUGCUGUUGCUUUUUUUAAGGCUAUUUGCCGUGGCUAUAAGCCGACGCUUGAAGCGCUCUUGUUCGAUGGGAUCCUCGGGCACGACAAAUUCGUCAUCGUCAAGGCUUGCCUCGUCUUCGGAGGGAGGCAUGUAAUUACCAUCCCCCGCCUCUCCAUCUACUGCUCUCUCGGGAGGGCUGGCUUCUCCAUUCUCCUGCUCUAAAUCUUGCUGGAGGGGAUUGUUGUCAUCUUCGGCACUGUCCGGAGUGCUAUUAUCUCCUAUGCAGGUAUCACCGCUUUUGCCUUGGCGAGACUUAGAGCGGCGCCGCUGACGUCGGCGCUUGGGUUGCUUCUUGGAGGGGUCAUCCUCCGCUGUCCCAUCGCCAUUGCCUUCUUUGGGUGUGUCCAACAUACAUAUCAUAUGAUGAGGUGGCUGUCCGGUGCCCUGUGGGCAGUGGUUCUUGUUCGCCUCCUGCAUCGUCGUCCAUACCGCCGAUGUCUUCGGAGUCGAAGUCGAGCAUGUCGGUCAAAUCGUCGACAGUGGCUACUAAGAGUAUCUCCAGCCGCGCCGACAUCGAAAAAACGGCCCAGUCGCGCCCCCAGAAGCCCGUUUUUCGCCGUCUCGGGGCGAAACUGGUGUCCGCGGACCCAGGCUGAACCUUGCUUCCUCGGGGGCCUGGGGCAUCGGCACAAGCGAAAAGGGCGCGUGGGUCCGCCCUGUCGGUGAGGCGAGCGCCUCUUCCCGCCAUUUCUUCUCGCGUUUUCCCCACUUCCCUCCCGUACUCUUCCUUCCUCCCGCCAAUCUCCCUCCCGCUCGCCUCCCUCCCAGCCGGCCGCCAUGCCACCGAAGAAGUACGCCGCCCCCCGCGCGGCCGCAACCGCGACCGCCUCCAUCGCCCAGAUGAAGCAGAGAAAGCCAAGGGCGCCGCCGAUCAAGACACUGGGCAUGUCAAACGCCGAGUGGAGGGAGGAAGUUCAGCGGCGGGAGGCUGUCACCGCCGACCUGUGGAACAGGGCCAUCGCCAAGAAGGCCUGCGACAACGCGGCGUGCGCAGCUGCGGCUGCCUCGGCGGACCAAAUCGAGGCCGAGGUGACUCGCGCGGGAUGAUGAAUCCACCUAGAAGCCACGCCCAGUACGCGCCCUGGGGCCAGCAAGGCGUCGGCUCUCCGCAACCAUGGGGAUCGUGCACAGUGAGUUCAACCCAAACGUCACCUUCCCCCAUGGAUACCCGGCCCAGCGCACGCCCUCUCCCGCCUUCGCCGGCAUGUAGUACCCUCCAUACAACUACUCGCCGCCCGCCUACGCUUCCUCCCCGAUGCCCCUGCUACACUGUGGCCUGCUGCCCUUCUCGCACCUCGGCGACACCGACGAGACCGAGGCCGACAUGGACGACAUCAUCGCGACAGGUUCGGCCGCGGCCGCCGCAUCUCCCGGGUUUGUCACCCAGGACAAGGUGGUGGAUCUCAGCGACGGCAUGGAUGGCGAGCUCGGCUACAUCUACGGCAAGGACGAGUAGGAGGAGCAGAAGGAGGAGGACGUCGAGGAGGAGGAGGAGGAGCCGACGCCUGCGACGGCGAAGGGGCGCAAGAAGAAGCGGGCGGCCAGGACAGGCGAGCCGCGCAUCAAGUGGGCGUCCAAGGAGGAAUGCCUCGCCGAAGCAUGGAAAGUCGUCUGCCUCGACCCGACCAUUGGCACGAACCAGAGCAUCGACACGUACUGGGACCGCAUCAAGGCCGAAUUCGACGAGCGCAAGCUCGUCGACCCCUACUUCAAAGGCGUCUACAUGCAACGUGGCUCCGAGGCGAUGGCGAACCAUUAGGGGCGUAUCCAGGGGCGUGCCACAAAUGGCAUGGGGUCGUCGAGGAGGUCGCGGCUCGCCCGGAGAGCGGCGCCAGCGUCGAGGAUCAGGUAUGCCACGCCGGCCUCCCGCCUCUCUUCGCCGUGUACGCGAGCCAACUGUUUGUCCCUCCGCGCAGUUGCUGCGCAUGUUCACCCUGUACCGGCAGAGCAACAGCGACGCCAAAUUCAAGUACCUCCACGUCUACAAGCGCAUUGACAAGUGCGAGAUGUGGGCGGACGUCCGGCGCACCCUUGACAAGGCCAAGGAGACCUACAAGCCGGACGCGCCGACUCCUGGCGCAUCGGAAGGGCGGCCAGACGGUAACAAAGUUGCCAAGAAGGGGAAAUACGCCGACACGACAACCGCUCGAGUGCAGGAGUCAAUCGAGCACUACCUCGCCGACGCGCAGGCCCGGGCCGUCCUUCGUGAAGAGAAGACCGAGGCGCGGUGGUCGACGUUGAUGUCCAGCAGCACCGUCAAGCUCGACCUGCUCCGGACGAACGUCGCCGCGAAGAAGAGAAACACUGACCUGGCUUUCCUGCUGGGCGGGGCGGACAUGCUCCAGAGCACCGACGAGGCGGUAAAGGUGUGGUACUUGGCGAAGCGCGGCCUCAUCCUGAACCAGCUUCCCUCAACAAGGCCGCCGACGCCGACGCACACGCCGCCACCGCCGCCAAGCCCACGUGAUGACGCCUCCACGACGCCCAGCACCACCAAAGCCGCGCCGACACCGCCCAGCGCAGAGGCUGCUCCGACACCGCCAAGCCCGCACACGCCAACUCCGCCGACGCCUGGGGCAUAGCCCGCCGAGGGAUGCGCACGCGAACUUCUGCCGCUCUAUUUUUUGUACGCCGAACUGUGGCUUGCGAUCGCCCGACUUGUGGCGUCUUUUGUGUGAGGGAACAACCAAGUUCGAAUUUUUCGCGUCCUGGGGGCAGCGCCUGGGGGCGUGACUGGGAGUUAGGUUGCCCCCAGGGGCCGAACUAGCAUUGGUUCGCCCCCAGACCGCCCUUUUUUAGCGCCCUGGGGGGCCGAACGGCUGGAGAUGCUCUAAGUGGGUGGUGGGUGGGCGGCGAAUUUCUUCAUCAUCCGCAUCCCAAUCCUGCCGGACAUAGUUCGGCCAGGACUCUCCUGACAAGGAGAGAGACCUUAAUGAGUUCAGUAUGUCGCCGAAGGGCGAGUGCUGUAAAAUAUCCGCGGAGGUAAACUCCAUGAUCGGCGCCCAGUCGGAUUCGUUAGGCACGGGCGCAGGCGGUUCGGAGUCCGUGGCCGGGGAAUAAUCCGGCAGUUUGGCGUCACGGCUCUCGUGAAGGGUAAGGUCGAUACUCGGCUUGAUUGUCGCUGAGGAUACGGCCUCCGUGGCGGGGUCUAUCCACCCGUCCAUGGAUGGCACAAUUGGCUCCGACUUGAGGGUCCGAGCGGUUGCCGGUGCGAUCUCCUAAACACUGUCCGAUGGUAGAGCUAAAUCAUGCUCAUCGUGACCGUGUGGCGCACUCGGCAGGGGCUCAAAUCCGUUGAAGAUCAAGUCUCCGCGGAUAUUGGCCGUGUAGUUUAAGCUUCCAAACCUGACCUGGUGGCCAGGGGCGUAACUCUCAAUCUGCUCCAGAUGCCCAAGCGAGUUGGCCCGCAGUGCGAAGCCGCCGAAUACAAAGAUCUGUCCGGGGAGAAAAGUCUCACCCUGGACUGCAUUGCUAUCGACGAUUGAAGGAGCCAUCAAGCCUAAUGAUGACAACACAGAGGAACUCUCAAUGAAAGCACCAAUGUCGGUGUCAAAACCGGCGGAUCUCAGGUAGGGGGUCCCGAACUGUGCGUCUAAGGCGGAUGGUAACAGGAGGCAGGGGACACGAUGUUUUACCCAGGUUCGGUCCCUCUUGAUGGAGGUAAAACCCUACUUCCUGCUUGAUUAUUCUUGAUAAUAUGAGUAGUACCAGAGUAGAUCUACCACGAGAUCAGAGAGGCUAAACCCUAGAAGCUAGCCUAUGGUAUGAUUGUAUGUUGUCCUACGGACUAAAACCCUCCGGUUUAUAUAGAAACCGGAGGGGGCUAGGGUUACACAGAGUCGGUUACAAGGAAGGAGAUCUGCAUAUCCGUAUUGCCAAGCUUGCCUUCCACGCCAAGGAGAGUCCCAUCCGGACACGGGACAAAGUCUUCAAUCUUGUAUCUUCAUAGUCCAAUAGUCCGGCCAAAGGAUAUAAUCCGGCUGUCUGGAUACCCCCCUAAUCCAGGACUCCCUCACCGCCAUUCUGGAUGAAGGUGUGUUCUUCUUGCCGGCCUUUCUCGCAAAAAUCCUUUGCCACUGGUUUGGGGGCAACCCGGCUGGUUUCCGGGUACAGCCGUUGGCCGUUGUCCAUUUCGAAUUUGAAGUGGCCCAUGUAGGCGUUGCAUGGGAGAUCAUACGUAAAAAUGUCUAGACUUGGGGGCCGAUGCACGUGGCCAUCUCCUUGAGUAACGGUAAACGUGCCAGGCUGGAUGUGAGGCGCAGACCUAGGAUGUGCACUAUGCACCCCCCUUUCCCCUUCGCUACAUGGACCUUACCCUGGCACGGUGCAACGCUCCUCCAAUCUCUCGUUCAGUGUGAAAGAUCCUCUUAGCCCGGUUUUCCCGCGGCCUGUGGAAGAAGAGUCUCCGCGGCUGCAUGCACCAUGCAAUAGUAAUCAUGCUCAUAUCUUAAAUCCUAUUCACUCGCAGGCUGCCAUGCAUGCCGACCAACCCGAUGGCCCGACCUACAGGCACGCUGAUGAGAUCCUUUCUUCUAUCCGGGACGCCCCUGCUAGCUGUCGCGAAAACCAACAUAAUGACAUGUCUGUCCUGCGCCAUAAUUCCUACUUGCAUGCCCUACUAUCACGUCGGGCGCCUGGGAAUCAAGCAAGCUCAGCGCAGCGCGUCGCCUCCAAUGCAAUAAAGAAAUCUGCAAAGCCUAAGGAUUUGCAUCUUAGAUGCUAUAGGUGCCUAUCUUACAGCCACCGGCGUAAGGAUUGCAAAGACCCCAUUGUCUGUUGGUCCUGCCGACAGGUGGGCCACAUUCUAUCCCAAUGCAUCUCCCGGCGCGGCUCAUCGUCUUCGUGCGCUACCCCCACGCCUCCUUAUAACACGACGGUGUCCCCCCGCUCUCCCAAGCCUUCCAGCCCCCACUGCCUCCUCCUGCUCUCUAGCACUUCUACCUCCUAAGCCUGGGCCUCUCGCCUCCAUGGAGCCGGUGGUCCGAGGCCAUCCCACCUCUCUCGAUGUUCACUACCGACUGCUUCCAGACCAGAAUGCCCAAGUUUGCCUCGUAAACAUCUCUUCGCCCAUGUCUGGUUUCCUUCCUUGGUUCAAGCGCCUCUUAUCGGAACGGCGCGACAUCACUAUUGUCCAGCUUGCCAGAUGUGCUACUGGCACUGUGUUCACUGUCUUCCAUCGGGAGGCGAAUCAAGUGGCUGCCAUGAGAGCCAGCCCAUUGGAAACUGACACCCGUCGAGAUGGUAAGCCCGACACCAGAACGCCUCUGCUUGAUGACGAGAGCCUUAGCACUGCUCAUUUCUACAAGUUUCUCACCUUUCAAGGAAAAAACUAUACGCCAGCCUGCUUCAUUUGGUACAGAAUCAUACCCCACAAACACCACAUCUUCCUGUGGAUUGCGCUCCGGGACAAACACGACACCAGAGAUAAUAUGUUAAGCAAGCAUUGGGAUAAAAUUCUUUCACAUAAUGGUUGUGAUCUAUGCCCAGCUGCGGAGACAAUGAGCCACAUUUUACUACGAUGUAAACUAGCACAAGCACUAUGGUCCAACUUAGGCCUGCAGGAGCUACCCACAUCUUCUACAGAACCUAAAGUUUUCCUAUUCUCCGAACAACCAAGGGCACUGCACGGCAAGCUAUGGCAUAUUCUCUUCGCGACAUGUGCGGUCACACUUUGGAAUGCCAGGAACGCACAAGUGUUUGAUGGAUCUUUUUGGCAAGAGCGCCAGGUAUACAAUGGAGUCACUGAGCUGAUCAGACUAUGGAGCCUGCAUGCCCCACAACAUACUAGGCGGAGCCUUUGGGAUUGGGCAACUGCUUUUGCUCCUAGUUAGCAAGAUGUGUUCUCUCCCGUUCUUCUAUCCUGCACUAUGUAUCUUAGCAUAGGCCUGGUGAUGGCAUGCUGUACAAAUUGUGUGGCGUAAACAUCACCUUCAUGUAAAUGACUGUGGUCAUCCAGGUUUUCGCCCAUUUUGAAUGCAUAAGGUAGAAAAUGCUCUACCUUUUUAUUCAAAAAAAUAUCGGCAUCCCUGUGAGUCAAAAUCAUUGGCACUAUAUGUCAGUCUCCUUGUUAUCGGUUUUCUUGUCUUUUCUCGUUCUCGUGUUCCCGCAUCCCCGUGAUCAAUUCAUGCUGUGUCUGGCCAGAUGUUGAUGGAUUCUGUCACACUGAGAGGGCCUGAAGAAUAUCUUUUCAUCGCAUGAGGAGAAAAUCCUAGUCUUGAGCUAUGUAGUCCCUUGCCAUACGUUUCCUAUGAACAUGUAACUUGUUGUUACGAUCACCCUGUUAUGGUUGACGUUGGACCAACCCCAAAGUGCAUCAUCCAGUAUGAAGUGACUCAAUGUUCUCAUGGUCUAAAAAAUUGUGCAUAUGUUAACUUUCUAUGUUAUGGACUAUAAACCUAUGAUGAAAUUAUCUGGAAGUAUAACAUACAACUUGGGUCAAUUCAACACAAGUGGUCCUCCAACAUUGUGCCCUCGAUAUUGUUGACAUCAUCAUUACACUUAACUAUAACCAUGAUCGGGAAAACAAAAUCAUCAUGCAAUACUUGAGCUAGUCCUAAUGGCAAGACUAGGAACCUUAUUUUUACCGUUUAUAAUCCUACACGUGCAUGUGAUUUUUUCUCUGAACCUCUUAGUUUUCACAAAUUCGAGAACCAUAGCAAUUUUAUCAUAGAAUAAAAACAUCAAUUAUAAAUUUAGAAAUAAAUAAUAACAUAAUUAUUAUUGCCUCUAGGGCAUAUUUCCAACAAUUGCUUCCAAGAAAUUCAACAACCGCCUUGAUCCCCGCAUCCCCGAUAGAAACCAUUUGACGGGUGGUAAGACCAUCGGCGAUGGUGGUUUCUCCGUGAAUAAUCAAUCUGAAUAAGGGAUGUUCCUUCAGAGAUUUAGUGGGAUAAUUCGAGUGCACAAAGCAUGUACACAUUUAUCACACACACAAAAUUUGGAGUCAUAAUUUAGGUACCUCCCUAUAUGGGCGGGCAUGUAACUUUAGUGCAACUACGCCCGUUAGGAUUCAACAAGUUCAAUCUGCUGGAUAUAUAGGAAGAUAGGGGAGGGGUGUUUUGGCUCCCUGGAGCAUAUGCUCCCAGAUGAACAGUAAAUUAAAAAAACUAUUUUUUGUAGAUGUGUUUGUUAGUCCCUUCCAGUACUCCAAGGUGUGCUGGUGCUAAGGCUACCACAUAGGCAAAAAAAUGAUGUGACAAAGCACUUGUCGGUGUCAAAACCGGCGGAUCUCGGGUAGUGGGUCCCGAACUGUGCAUCUAGGCCGGAUGGUAACAGGAGGUAGGGAACACGAUGUUUUACCCAGGUUCGGGCCCUCUUGAUGGAGGUAAAACCCUACGUCCUGCUUGAUUAAUAUUGAUGAUAUGGGUAGUACAAGAGUAGAUCUACCACGAGAUCAAGGAGGCUAAACCCUAGAAGCUAGCCUAUGGUAUGAUUGUUGUAUAUGGAGUUGAUUGCCUACGGACUACAACCCCCCGGUUUAUAUAGACACCGGAUAGGGUUAGGGUUACAUAGAGUCGGUUACAAUGGUAGGAGAUCUUGAAUAUCCGCAUCGCCAAGCUUGCCUUCCACGCCAAGGAAAGUCCCAUCCGGACACGGGACAAAGUCUUCAAUCUUGUAUCUUCAUAGUCCUGGAGUCCGGCUGAAGGUAUAGUCCGGCUACCCGAACACCCCCUAAUCCAGGACUCCCUCAGUAGCCCCCGAACCAGGCUUCAAUGACGAUGAGUCCGGCGCACAGAAUGUUCGGCAUUGCAAGGCGGGUUCUUCUCCAAAUCUUGUGUACCUAUAGGAAUAAUGUCUGAUUUUUGUAAUGUAGUGCUCCUCGGCUUCCACGCCCAAUAAUGGCCGUCUUCCAUGUGUCAAACGAAUGCGAAAAGCCGGGGCGUUUUUACAUCCAUACCCCUAGCCGUAUAAAUGAGCCGCCUAUUUAACAGGAUGGGGAUUUAGGUCCAAACCACAUCUUCUCCUUUACGUGAGUUAUCAUCGGAGCGCUUCCAGCAAAGGUCCAUUCCAACGUGACCAGCCGUCGCAGCUCCUCCCCUCGCCCCUCCGGUCCCAAACCCGGGGACUGGGAGAGUUGCACCAUCCCGCAUAGCGAGUUAGUGUCGCUUCUGGCCAAGGGAUUUCUCCCUCAGGCAUACCUGGUCCCGGUCCGAGCCGGUCUCGCCACCUACAAUGGCGGAAAACAAGCGGAGAGCACCCCCAACCCUAUCUAAUAAGGGGACUGGGAUUUCCAAUUCAUCCAUUUCUCCGCGGGCUUCUGGAGUUCUACGGCCUCCAGCUGCACAAUCUCAUGCCCGCCUCCGUAUUGCAUAUUGCGGGUUUCGUCGCCCUUUGCGAGCUAUUUUUAUGCGUUGAGGCUCAUUUCGCGCUGUGGAAGAGGUUAUUCUGCCCGGUGCCCCGUUCUCAACAGGGGUCCAUAUACCAGGUGGGCGGAGCCGAAGUAUGGCGCAUCGCCGGGACCGAAUACCUAUCCGGAACCCCAAAGAAGGCGUCCGAGGACUGGCCUUUGGAAUGGUUUUACAUAGAUGACGUCCCACUACCAGACCCUAUCCGGGUCGGUCUCCCUGAGUUCAAUAGUGCUCCAUUGAAGAAACGCUUGAGCUGGCAUCCGUGGAGCUCUCAGAGAGAAAGCAACAGAGACGUCAUUUACCUGAUGGGCCGGAUAAGACUGUUGGCUCAUUCCGGACUAACCAUGAUCGGAGUCAUGUCCGCAUGCAUUAUGCGGGGGGUGCAGCCACUUCAAUAUAGAGGCCACCCCAUGCGGGAUUUCAACGGGGAGGAUGACACCACACGUUACGGUCGUAAGGGGCCGGCCUCAGCCGCCGCCUUAGUAAAGAUCUUAUCCUCUUUGUACAAGGGAGAAAAGGAGGAGUUCCUCCGCGUCAACCCGCGGGCCGGAUUCAGUAUGUACGAUCCUCCAAGUUGCGUAAGUGAACAAUUGUGCUUGCCUGUUUGUUUUGUACUCCAUGGUUAGAUAGGUAGUCUAACGACUUCAAUGCAGGAACUACGACAGGAGGUAAAGGAUAUAAACAGCCGCCCUCCACAGCCCGAGGACCCAGAACGGUCCCUCAAUCCGGACUCCGAAGAGGAUCCGGACAUAUCGGUGGAGCUUAUCGACAGGGUGUUCCAUCAGCUAAGCAAGGACAAUACCUUGGUAGGCAUUACUGUGGACUACCCAGGGUUAAUCCCGGCCUCCCAGGUGACAGAAACUGGGGUCUUAUUCCCUUGAAAGAGAUUCCACCCGCACGUAGCUCGAUGUUUGUGACGACAGCCGUGUUUUGCAGGGGAGAUUUCCGAGGCAGGAGGCCGAACCUGUGGAGGCUAGCCAACGAGGGGCCGCAGGGCCCCGUGGGGAAAAAAGGAAUGUAGUCCGGACUGAAUUGCCGGCGCAAUGGUAUAGUGCACCCUUUGUUUCCCUGGAGUUAUUCUGUCAAGGCAUAUUUGUAGGGUUUCGUAGUAAUUUCAAAAAAUUUCCUACGCACACGCAAGAUCAUGUGAUGCAUAGCAACGAGAGGGGAGAGUGAUGUCUACGUACCCACGCAGACCGACUGCGGAAGCGUUGACACAACGUAGAGGAAGUAGUCGUACGUCUUCACGAUCCAACCGAUCAAGCACCGAAACUACGGCACCGCCGAGUUCGAGCACACGUUCAGCUCGAUGACGAUCCCUGGACUCCGAUCUAGCAAAGUGUCGGGGAAGAGUUCCGUCAGCACGACGGCGUGGUGACGAUCUUGAUGCACUACAGCAGCAGGGCUUCGCCUAAACUCUGCUACAGUAAUAUCGAGGACUAUGGUGGCUGGGGGCACCGCACAUGGCUAAGGAAUAGAUCACGUGGAUCAACUUGUGUGUUUCUGGGGUGCCUCUGCCUCAGUAUAUAAAGGACUAGAGGGGGGAGGCUGGCCGGCCAAGGUGUGGCGCGCCAGGGAGAGUCUCCCUCUGGGAGUAGGAUUCCCGCCACCAAUCCUAGUUGGAAUAGGACUCCUUGAGGGGAGAAAGAGAGAGAGGGGGCCAGCCACCUCUCCUAGUCCUAAUAGGACUAGGGGAAGGCGGGAGGCGCACAUCCACCUUGGGCUGCCCCUUUCUCCUUUCCACUAAAGCCCACUAAGGCCCAUUUAGCUCCCGGGGGGUUCUGGUAACCUCCCGGUACUCCGGUAAAAUCCCGAUUUCACCCGGAACACUUCCAAUAUCCAAACAUAGGCUUCCAAUAUAUCAAUCUUUAUGUCUCGACCAUUUAGAGACUCCUCUUCAUGUCCGUGAUCACAUCCGGGACUCCGAACAACCUUCGGUAUAUCAAAAUGCAUAAACUCAUAAUAUAACUGUCAUCGUAACCUUAAGCGUGCGGACCCUACGGGUUCGAGAACAAUGUAGACAUGACCGAGACACGUCUCCGGUCAAUAACCAAUAGCGGGACCUGGAUGCCCAUAUUGGCUCCUACAUAUUCUACGAAGAUCUUUAUCGGUCAGACCGCAUAACAACAUACGUUGUUCCCUUUGUCAUCGGUAUGUUACUUGCCCGAGAUUCGAUCGUCGGUAUCCAAUACCUAGUUCAAUCUCGUUACCGGCAAGUCUCUUUACUCAUUCUGUAAAUACAUCAUCCCGCAACUAACUCAUUAGUUGCAAUGCUUGCAAGGCUUAUGUGAUGUGCAUUACCGAGAGGGCCCAGAGAUACCUCUCUGACAAUCGGAGUGACAAAACCUAAUCUCGAAAUACGCCAACCCAACAUGUACCUUUGGAGACACCUGUAGUACUCCUUUAAAAUCACCCAGUUACGUUGUGACGUUUGGUAGUACCCAAAGUGUUCCUCCGGUAAACGGGAGUUGCAUAAUCUCAUAGUUAUAGGAACAUGUAUAAGUCAUGAAGAAAGCAAUAGCAACAUACUAAACGAUCGGGUGCUAAGCUAAUGGAAUGGGUCAUGUCAAUCAGAUCAUUCAAGUAAUGAUGUGACCUCGUUCAUCAAAUAACAACACUUUGUUCAUGGUUAGGAAACAUAACCAUCUUUGAUUAGCGAGCUAGUCAAGUAGAGGCGUACUAGUGACACUCUGGUUGUCUAUGUAUUCACACAUGUAUUAUGUUUCCGGUUAAUACAAUUCUAGCAUGAAUAAUAAACAUUCAUCAUGAAAUAAGGAAAUAAAUAAUAACUUUAUUAUUGCCUCUAGGGCAUAUUUCCUUCAGUCUCCCACUUGCACUAGAGUCAAUAAUCUAGAUCACAUCACCAUGUGAUUAACAUCGAUAGUUCACAUCAUCAUGUGAUUAACACCCAUAGUUCACAUCGUCAUGUGACCAACACCCAAAGGGUUUACUAGAUUCGGUAAUCUAGUUCACAUCGCUAUGUGAUUAACACCCAAAGAGUACUAAGGUGUGAUCAUGUUUUGCUUGUGAGAGAAUCUUGGUCAACGGGCCUGCCAAAUUCAGAUCCGUAUGUAUUUUGCAAAAUUCUAUGUCUACAAUGCUCUGCACGGAGCUACUCUAGAUAAUUGCUCCCACUUUCAAUAUGUAUCCAGAUUGAGACUUAGAAUCAUCUGGAUUAGUGUCAAAAACUUGAAUCGACGUAACCGUUUACGACGAACCCUUUUGUCACGUCCAUAAUCGAGAAACAUAUCCUUAUUUUGCUAAGGAUAAUUAUGACCGCUGUCCAGUGAUCUACUCCUAGAUCACUAUUGUACUCCCUUGCCAAAUCAGUGCAGGGUAUACAAUAGAUCUGGUACACAACAUGACAUACUUUAUAGAACCUAUGGCCAAGGCAUAGGAAAUUACUUUCAUUCUCUUUCUAUCUUCUGCCGUGGUCGGGCUUUGAGUCUUUACUCAAUUUCAUACCUUGUAACACAGCCAAGAACUCUUUCUUUGACUGUUCCAUUUUUGAACUACUUCAAAAUAUUGUCAAGGUAUGUACUCAUUGAAAAAACUUAUCAAGCGUCUUGAUCCAUCUCUAUAGAUUUUGAUACAAUAUGUAAGCAUCUUCACCGAAGUCUUUUCUUUGAAAAAUUCCUUUCAAACACUCCUUUAUGCUUUACAGAAUAAUUCUACAUUAUUUCCGAUCAACAAUAUGUCAAUCACAUAUACUUAUCAGAAAUGUUGUAGUGCUCCCACUCACUUUUCUUGUAAAUACAGGCUUCACCGCAAGUCUGUAUAAAACUACAUGCUUUGAUCAACUCAUCAAAGCGUAUAUUCCAACUCCGAGAUGCUUGCACCAGUCCAUAGAUGGAUCACUGGAGCUUGCACAUUUUGUUAGCACCUUUCAGAUUUGACAAAACCUUCUAGUUGCAUCGUAUACAACUAUUUUUAGUAAAUCCAUUAAGGAAUGCAGUUUUGUUUAUCCAUUUGCCAGAUUUCAUAAAAUGCGGCAAUUGCUAACAUGAUUCGGACAGACUUAAGCAUAGAUACGAGUGAGAAAAUCUCAUCAUAGUCAACACCUUGAACUUGUCGAAAACCUUUUGCGACAAUUCUAGCUUUCUAGAUAGUAACACUACUAUCAGCGUCUGUCUUCCUCUUGAAGAUCCAUUUAUUUUCUAUGGCUUGCCGAUCAUCGGGCAAAUCCAUCAAAGUCCAUACUUUGUUCUCAUACAUGGAUCAUAUCUCAGAUUUCAUGGCCUCAAACCAUUUUGCGGAAUCUGGGCUCAUCAUCGCUUCCUCAUAGUUCGCAAGUUUGUCAUGGUCUAGUAACAUGACUUCGAGAAUAGGAUUACCGUACCACUCUGGUGCGGAUCUCACUCUGGUUUACCUACGAGAUUCGGUAGUAACUUGAUCUGAAGUUUCAUGAUCAUCAUCAUUAGCUUCCUCACUAAUUGGUGUAGGAGUCACAGGAACAAAUUUCUGUGAUGAACUACUUUCCAAUAAAGGAGAAGGUACAAUUACCUUAUCAAGUUUUCUACUUUCCUCCCACUCACUUCUUUCAAGAGAAACUCCUUCUCCAGAAAGUUUCCAAAUUUAGCAAAAAAAUCUUGCCUUCGGAUCUGUGAUAGAAGGUGUACCCAACAUGAACUUUUGGGUAUCCUAUGAAGACACAUUUCUCCGAUUUCGGUUCGAGCUUAUCAGGUUGAAGCUUUUUCACAUAAGCAUCGCAGCCCCAAACUUUCAGAAACGACAACUUUGGUUUCUUGCCAAACCACAGUUCAUAAGGCGUCGUCUCAAUGGAUUUUGAUGGUGCCCUAUUUAACAUGAAUGCAGCUGUCUCUAAUGCAUAACCCCAAAACGAUAGUGGUAGAUCGGUAAGAUACAUCAUAGAUUGCACUAUAUCCAAUAAAGUACGGUUAUGACGUUCGGACACACCAUUACAUUGUGGUGUUCCAGGUGGCAUGAGUAGUGAAACUAUUUCACAUUGUUUUUAACUGAAGGCCAAACUCGUAACUCAAAUACUCUUCUCUACGAUCAGAUCGUAGAAACUUUAUUUUCUUGUUACGAUGAUUUUUCACUUCACUCUGAAAUUCUUUGAACUUUUCAAAUGUUUCAGACUUAUGUUUCAUCAAGUAGAUAUACUCAUAUCUGCUCAAAUCAUCUAUGAAGAUCAGAAAAUAAUGAUACUUGUCGCGAGCCUCAAUAUUCAUCGGACCACAUACAUCAGUAUGUAUGAUAUCCAACAAAUCUUGUUGCUCGCUCUAUUGUUCCGAAGAACAGAGUCUUAGUCAUCUUGCCCAUGAGGCAUGGUUCGCAAGCAUCAACUGAUUCAUAAUCAAGUGAUUCCAAAAGCCCAUCAGCAUGGAGUUUCUUCAUGCCUUUUACACCAAUAUGACCUAAACGGCAGUGCUACAAAUAGGUUGCACUAUCAUUAUUAACUUUGCAUCUUUUGGUUUCAAUAUUAUGAUUAUGUGUAUCACUACGAUCGAGAUCCAACGAACUAUUUUCAUUGGGUGUGUAACCAUAUAAGGUUUUAUUCAUAUAAACAGAACAACAAUUUAUUCUCUUUGAAUGAAUAACCGUAUUACAAUAAACAUGAUCAAAUCAUAUUCAUGCUCAACGCAAACACCAAAUAACACUUAUUUAGGUUCAACACUAAUCUCGAAAUUAUAGGGAGUGUGCGAUGAUGAUCAUAUCAAUCUUGGAACCACUUCCAACACACAUCGUCACUUCACCCUUAACUAGUCUCUGUUUAUUCUGCAACUCCCGUUUCGAGUUACUAAUCUUAGCAACUGAACUAGUAUCAAAUACUGAGGGUUUGCUAUAAACACUAGUAAAGUACACAUCAAUAACAUGUAUAUCAAAUAUACUUAUGUUCACUUUGCCAUCCUUCUUAUCCGCCAAUCACUUGGGGUAGUUCCGCUUCCAGUGAUCAGUCCCUUUGCAGUAGAAGCACUUAGUCUUAGGCUUAGGACCAGACUUGGGCUUAUUCACUUGAGCAGCAACUUGCUUGCCAUUCUUCUUGAAGUUCCCCUUCUUCCCCAUGCCCUUUUCUUGAAACUAGUGAUCUUGUCAACCAUCAACACUUGAUGUUUUUCUUGAUUUCUACCUUUGUUGAUUUCAGCAUCACGAAGAGCUUGGGAGUUGUUUCCGUUAUCCCUUGCAUAUUAUAGUUCAUCACAAAGUUCUACUUACUUGGUGAUGGUGACUAGAGAAUUCUGUCAAUCACUAUCUUAUCUGGAAGAUUAACUCCCACUUGAUUCAAGCGAUUGUAGUACCCAGACAAUCUGGGCACAUGCUCACUAGUUGAGCGAUUCUCCUCCAUCUUUUAGCUAUAGAACUUGUUAGAGACUUCAUAUCUCUCAACUCGGGUAUUUGCUUGAAAUAUUAACUUCAACUCCUGGAACAUCUCAUAUGCUCCAUGACGUUCAAAACGUCUUUGAAGUCCCGAUUCUAAGCCAUUAAGCAUGGUGCACUAAACUAUCAAGUAGUCAUCAUAUUGAGCUAGCCAAACGUUCAUAACGUGUGCAUCUGCUCCUGCAAUAGGUCCGUCACCUAGCGGUGCAUCAAGGACAUAAUUCUUCUGUGCAACAAUGAGGAUAAACCUCAGAUCAUGGAUCCAAUCCGCAUCACUGCUACUAACAUCUUUCAACACAAUUUUCUCUAGGAACAUAUCAAAAUAAACAUAUGAAAGCAACAACGCGAGUUAUUGAUCUACAACAUAGAUAUGCUAAUACUACCAGGACUAAAUUCAUGAUAAAUUUAAGUUCAAUUAAUCAUAUUACUUAAGAACUCCCACUUAGAUAGACAUCCCUCUAAUCUUCUAAGUGAUCACGUGAUCCAAAUCAACUAAACCAUGUCCGAUCAUCACGUGAGAUGGAGUAGUUUCAUUGGUGAACAUCAUUAUGUUGAUCAUAUCUACUAUAUGAUUCACGCACGACAUUUCGGUCUCCGUGUUCCGAGGCCAUAUCUGUAUAUGCUUGGCUCAUCAAGUAUAACCUGAGUAUUCCGCGUGUGCAACUGUUUUGCACCCGUUGUAUUUGAACGUAGAACCUAUCACACCCGAUCAUCACGUGGUGUCUCAGCACGAAGAACUUUCGCAAUGGUGCAUACUCAGGGAGAACACUUCUUGAUAAUUUAGUGAGAGAUCAUCUUAUAAUGCUACCGUCAAUCAAAGCAAGAUAAGAUGCAUAAAAGAUAAACAUCACAUGCAAUCAAUAUAAGUGAUAUGAUAUGGCCAUCAUCAUCUUGUGCCUGUGAUCUCCAUCUCCGAAGCACCGUCAUGAUCACCAUCGACACCGGCGCGACACCUUGAUCUCCAUCGUAGCAUCGUUGUCGUCUCGCCAAUCUCAUGCUUCCACGACUAUCGCUACCGCUUAGUGAUAAAGUAAAGCAUUACAUCGCGAUUGCAUUGCAUACAAUAAAGCGACAACCAUAUGGCUCCUGCCAGUUGCCGAUAACUCGGUUACAAAACAUGAUCAUCUCAUACAAUAAAAUUCAGCAUCAUGUCUUGACCAUAUCACAUCACAACAUGCCCUGCAAAAACAAGUUAGACGUCCUCUACUUUGUUGUUGCAAGUUUUACGUGGCUGCUACGGGCUUAAGCAAGAACCAAUCUCACCUACGCAUCAAAACCACAACGAUAGUUUGUCAAAUAGACUCCGUUUUAACCUUCGCAAGGACCGGGCGUAGCCAUACUUGGUUCAACUAAAGUUGGAGAGACAGUCGCCCGCAAGCCACCUAUGUGCAAAGCACGUCGGGGGAACCGGUCUCGCGUAAGCGUAUGCGUAAUGUUGGUCUGGGUCGUCUCGUCCAACAAUGCCGCCGAACCAAAGUAUGACAUGCUGGUAGGCAGUAUGACUUAUAUCGCCCACAACUCACUUGUGUUCUACUCGUGCAUAUAACAUCAACAUAAAUAACCUAGGCUCGGAUGCCACUGUAGGGUUUCGUAGUAAUUUCAAAAAAAUUCCUACGCACACGCAAGAUCAUGUGAUGCAUAGCAACGAGAGGGGAGAGUGAUGUCUACGUACCCACGCAGACCGACUGCGGAAGCGUUGACACAAUGUAGAGGAAGUAGUCGUACGUCUUCACGAUCCAACCGAUCAAGCACCGAAACUACGGCACCUCCGAGUUCGAGCACACGUUCAGCUCGAUGAUGAUCCCCGGACUCCGAUCCAGCAAAGUGUCAGGGAAGAGUUCCGUCAGCACGACGGCGUGGUGACGAUCUUGAUGCACUACAGCAGCAGGGCUUCGCCUAAACUCCGCUACAGUAAUAUCGAGGACUAUGGUGGCUGGGGGCACCGCACACGGCUAAGGAAUAGAUCACGUGGAUCAACUUGUGUGUUUCUGGGGUGCCUCUGCCUCAGUAUAUAAAGGACUAGAGGGGGGAGGCUGGCCGGCCAAGGUGUGGCGCGCCAGGAGAGUCCUACUCCCUCUGGGAGUAGGAUUCCCCCCCCCCCCCAAUCCUAGUUGGAAUAGGACUCCUUGAGGGGGGAAAGAGAGAGAGGGGGCCGGCCACCUCUCCUAGUCCUAAUAGGACUAGGGGAAGGGGGGAGGCGCACAGUCACCUUGGGCUGCCCCUUUCUCCUUUCCACUAAAGCCCACUAAGGCCCAUAUAGCUCCCGGGGGGUUCCGGUAACCUCCCGGUACUCCGGUAAAAUCCCGAUUUCACCCGAAACACUUCCGAUAUCCAAACAUAGGCUUCCAAUAUAUCAAUCUUUAUGUCUCGACCAUUUCGAGACUCCUCGUCAUGUCCGUGAUCACAUCCGGGACUCCGAACAACCUUCGGUAUAUCAAAAUGCAUAAACUCAUAAUAUAACUGUCAUCGUAACCUUAAGCGUGCGGACCCUACGGGUUCGAGAACAAUGUAGACAUGACCGAGACACGUCUCCGGUCAAUAACCAAUAGCGGGACCUGGAUGCCCAUAUUGGCUCCUACAUAUUCUACGAAGAUCUUUAUCGGUCAGACCGCAUAACAACAUACGUUGUUCCCUUUGUCAUUGGUAUGUUACUUGCCCGAGAUUCGAUCGUCAGUAUCCAAUACCUAGUUCAAUCUCAUUACCGGCAAGUCUCUUUACUUGUUCUGUAAAUACAUCAUCCCGCAACUAACUCAUUAGUUGCAAUGCUUGCAAGGCUUAUGUGAUGUGCAUUACCGAGAGGGCCCAGAGAUACCUCUCCGACAAUCGGAGUGACAAAACCUAAUCUUGAAAUACGCCAACCCAACUUGUACCUUUGGAGACACCUGUACUACUCCUUUAUAAUCACCCAGUUACGUUGUGACGUUUGGUAGUACCCAAAGUGUUCCUCCGGUAAACGGGAGUUGCAUAAUCUCAUAGUUAUAGGAACAUGUAUAAGUCAUGAAGAAAGCAAUAGCAACAUACUAAACGAUCGGGUGCUAAGCUAAUGGAAUGGGUCAUGUCAAUCAGAUCAUUCAAGUAAUGAUGUGACCUGGCUAAUCAAAUAACAACACUUUGUUCAUGGUUAGGAAACAUAACCAUCUUUGAUUAGCAAGCUAGUCAAGUAGAGGCGUACUAGUGACACUCUGGUUGUCUAUGUAUUCACACAUGUAUUAUGUUUCCGGUUAAUACAAUUCUAGCAUGAAUAAUAAACAUUCAUCAUGAAAUAAGGAAAUAAAUAAUAACUUUAUUAUUGCCUCUAGGGCAUAUUUCCUUCAAUGUUAACGUUCGUGCUAUCUUCAGAAUGAAGAGACCUCGCCGGACUACAUCCGGAGAGGUUGCGAAUCGCGCCUCCACCAGCCAGGUCCAACGUCUGGCCAGGAAGCAGAGGCGAGCACAAGGCGCGCACCGGACGCUCCUCCGACAGAGGAUGCGGACAGGUUGUCUGCCACAAAUUCUGAAGUGGAGAGUGCCAUGAACCACAGGCGUCGCCGGACAAUUCUACGCGACACUUGUUUCUCCCAAGAGGCUUUAGAUGCCUUUAAUUCGGGAGAUGCGUACCUCCGUGCCGCUCAAAAUGGUUUAGCCAGAGCCAUGGAGCAGUAUGUAAAAGACAUACGGGUAAGAAAUUUUUGGUUAAAUAUAUAUACGCCAGUAGCCCCCAAGACUUGAAGCAGUUAGAGCAACUGAUUUAAGGAUCAUUUAAUAUGCAGCUUCUUACAGAGAAGAAUACCGUACUGUCCCAGGAGCUGGAAACGUGCAAGGCCCAACUAGAGGCCGCACUAGCCGCAUCAGGGGAGCCCAAAGAGACCCCCUCAGGUAAGAUACACUUUGAAAGAUUAGUAUUGUGCGAUGUGGGUGCAAAUCUAACAAAUCAUAUUGCAGAUGGCGCCGGACUCAAUCCGGAUAAGCAACAACUCUUACGCCGGCUAAAGGCCGGUGAGAGUACAUUGACAAAGGUGAGGCGAGAGAAGAAUGAGCUUCAGGAUGCCAACACCAAGCUGGAUGUCGAACUUAAAGAUGUUCGUGGCCAGCUGUCGGACUCCACGAAGGAGAAUCAGCGGCUUCGACGCGGCAUUUUUAGUAAGUGCUUGAACAAACUUUGAAAAAAUAGUUUAGGGAGGAAGUCGACUAAUAGAGUAAUGUCUGUAGGUAUGCUCACAGGUCGUCCUACAGAGGAGAUGCCCGGUUCUACGGGUGACCUUCUUCCCGAACUCUUGCAACUGCACGAGCGAAUUCGGUAGGCGAUGCAGGGUAUUGCCCAAGCCUUAUGGCCUGCCCACUCCAUACCCGAGGGCCUUGGAGAGCUUGUGGAGAAGCUGAAGGGAGCUCGGCGGCGCUUCCGGUUGUGGAAGAUAUCGGCCUGCCGACAAGGCGCUAGGGAGGCCUUGGCCAUGGUGAAGACCCGUUUUACGAAGUCUAACCCAAACCACAUGGCCGAGGUCGGACCAGUGGGGCCUGACGGGAAGGAGAUCCCUGUAAGCUUAAUAUACGGCCAAGUAGAGUUGGCCGUGAAGUAUUCUCAGCAGGACUGUAAAUUAGACAGCCUGUUAGAUGGUAUAGAAGAGGAAUACAAUCAGUCAGAAUGAUUGUGUAAUUUUGAAUUUGACAUGUGUAAUGCCUUCUAGCCAGAUUGUAGACCGUUUGUCGUUGCCGACAUUUUCGCUUCAACCUCGGGACCUGACGGUCCGAAGUGUGUCUGAAUACCCUAGCGGUUAUAUAAGAACCGGGGUAUGCAUGGAGACCAGGCGUAGGGGUCAUCAGUGCUUUAUCAGACAAGUGCCAAACUAGUUAUGUUAUAUUACAUGGUUAGUAAGAAACAUCUUCCAGAGAGAAUAGUUCCGUUAAGGGUUCCUUUCGCUGGGAGGCAUGCCCUAAGGUGCAUGUACGGACUGCGUGAAGAGACGUAGAAAAAGCAUCUGGGGGCGCAUAAAAUGAGUAAAAAGAUCAUCUUUUAUUUCACCGACCGAAUAUUCCCUUAAGAACGCUAGCUUUUGGCCUCACCCAGUCUGAGGUACACAUCCGGCUGACCCGGCAGUAACAAUCGCAGAGGUGCUCCCUAUACCGCAUAGCCGAACAAUCGGGAACGUAGGGGUAAGCACAGGAGCCACGCAACCCAGCUUGGCCAAAACUUAAGUCAUAUCGAUGCAUAUAAUGGUGAAGAAAAAGGUACAUGUGGAAGUUUGACGCAUGUGUUGGGCGUGAAGCCCGUAUAAAUAAGCUUCUGUUAAAGAAGCCCCCAGGUUUAAUAAGCGCGAGUGGCGCAUCACUAGAUGAGCCUUUAAGGGCUAUGAAAGAGAAAGAAAAAAUGGGAAGGAGAGAAAUGUAAGACUGAAAAAUACAAAAAGGGAUGGACAGAGGAAGGAGACAAACACAGAGUCCGGUGCUAGGCAUAGAAUCUUCGGAGACGGGUGGCGUUCCACGGGUUCGGCUCGAGUCGGUUGUUCGACGUAUCUCGCAGGCGGUACACCCCACCAGUCAGGACUUGGUCGAUUAUGAAUGGAACAUUUCACUUGGGCUUGAGUUUGUCCUUUUUCUUAUCCGGCAGGCGUGGAACUAGUUCGCCAACAUUGUAAUUUUUGGGCCGUACUUCUCUGCUUUGAUAUCUUCAGGCCUGCUGUUGAUAAAAUGCGGAACGGGCUUUUUCCACAUCGCGCUCCUCCUCCAAGGCGUCCAAGUUGUCCUGCCGAUCGAGCUCGGCUUCUCUUUCUUCGUACAUGUGCACUCUAGGUGAGUCAUGAAUUAUGUCGUAGGGCAGAACUGCUUCUGCGCCGUACACCAUAAAAAAUGGUGUGUACCCGGUGGUACGAUUUGGCGUGGUCCGCAGCCCCCAUAGCACGGAGUCGAGCUCCUCUACCCAGUGCGUGUUAGAUUCCUUGAGGGACCGCACCAGUCUGGGUUUAAUGCCGCUCAUGAUAAGACCAUUUGCACGUUCGACCUGGCCGUUGGUUUGUGGGUGAUAGACGGAAGCAUAAUCGAGCUUGAUGCCCAUGUUUUUGCACCAGAGUUUUACCUCGUCGGCGGUAAAGUUUGUACCGUUGUCGGUUAUGAUGCUGUGGGGGACGCCAUAACGGUGUACAACCCCGGAUAUGAAGUCUAUCACAGGUCCGGAUUAGGCCGUUUUAACAGGCUUGGCUUCUAUCCAUUUGGUGAACUUAUCCACCAUGACCAGUAAGUAUUUUUUUCUAUGGGUUCCACCUUUAAGGGGUCCGACCAUGUCAAGCCCCCAGACCGCAAAAGGCCAGGUGAUGGGUAUAGUUUGGAGUGCGGUGGGUGGCAUAUGGCUUUGGUUGGCAAAAAUUUGGCAACCAACGCAUCAUUGGACUAGGUCCUGAGCGUCUGCUCGGGCCGUCGGCCAGUAAAAGCCUGUACGGAAAGCCUUGUUAACAAGGGACCGAGCAGCGGUGUGGUGACCACCGAGUCUGGCAUGAAUUUCAGCCAGGAGGUUCCGCCCUUCCUCUUUGGAGAUGCACCUUUGAAGGACUCUGGUAGUGCUUUUCUUAUAAAGUUCUCCCUCAUGGACUCUGUAGGCCUUAGAUCGCCGCACUAUGCAGCGGGCCUCGUUUUGGUCCUCCAGGAGUUCCUGCCUAGUAAGGUAGGCUAGGAAUGGUUCUGUCCACGGGGCGAUAACCGCCAUUAUUAUGUGGGCUGAAGGUGUAAUUUCGUUGGCAGAGCCUCCAAUUGUGUCAGAUUGUUCGGCGUCGAGUGGUGCGGCUGGGUUCGGGCUGUUAUUUGCGGGUUCCCCCUCCCAUGCUACGGAUGGCUUGAACAAUCUUUCCAAAAAGACGUUGGGGGGGACUGCAUCGCGUUUUGCUCCGAUGCGUGCUAGGACGUCCGCCGCCUGAUUGUUUUCUCGGGCUAUAUGGUGAAACUCCAGCCCUUCGAAUCGAGCUGACAUUUUUAGGACGGCGUCGCGGUAAGCUACCAUUUUUGGGUCCUUGGCGUUGAAGUCUCCAUUUAUUUGGGAUAUCGCGAGGUUUGAAUCCCCGCGUACCUCUAGGCGCUGGAUACCCAUGGAUACUGCUAUCCGGAGGCCAUGUAGGAGGGCCUCGUAUUUGGCUGCAUUGUUGGAAUCCGUGUACAUGAUCUGGAGCACAUAUUGGACUGUGUCUCCUGUGGGGGACGUUAGGACGACGCUGGCCCCCAGUCCGGCCAACAUUUUGGAGCCGUCAAAAUGCAUAAUCCAGUUUGAAUAUGUGCCGUACUCUUUAGGGAGCUCGGCCUCCGUCCAUUCUGCCACGAAGUCGGCCAAAACUUGCGAUUUAAUAGCUCGCCAUGGCUUAUAGGUUAUAUCGAACGGGAGAAGCUCGAUGGCCCGUUUUGCAAUCCGGCCCGUUGCAUCGCGGUUGUUGAUAAUAUCGUUUAGUGGCACUUCCGAGGCUACUGUUAUGGAACACUCUUGAAAGUAGUGUCGUACCUUCCGGGAUGCCAUGAAUACCGCGUAUGCAAUCUUUUGAUAAUGCGGGUACCGUGAUUUGCAUGGAGUGAGGACAGUGGACACAUAGUAGACCGGCCUUUGAAGGGGGAAUUUGUGUCCGUCCGUUUCCCGCUCGACAACGAGCACUGCGCUGACAACUUGGUGUGUUGCUGCAAUGUACAAUAACAUUGGUUCGCCGGCGAUUGGCGCGGCCAGGACUGGGUUUGUUGCCAAUAUGGCUUUUAUUUCAUCAAGUCCGGCCGUGGCGGCAUCCGUCCACUCGAAGUGUUCGGUGCACCGAAGGAGGCGAUAAAGGGGUAGUGCCUUUUCUCCCAAGCGGGAGAUGAAGCGGCUUAAAGCCGCCACGCAUCCGGUUAAUUUUUGUAUUUGUUUAAGGUCCUUUGGGACAUCCAAUUGUGACAAAGCUCGGAUCUUGGCUGGGUUUGCUUCAAUUCCUCUACCGGAUACAAUGAAGCCCAAGAGCUUUCCGGCUAGAACGCCGAAGACGCAUUUUUCUGGGUUGAGCUUGAUGUCAUAUUUUCGGAGGUUAUCGAAUGUAAACCUCAAGUCAUUUACUAGGGAUUCAACAUGUCUUGAUUUGACGACCACAUCAUCCACAUACACUUCCAUUGUUUUGCCGAUCUGGUUUGCCAGACAUGUCUGGAUCAUGCGCUGAUAUGUUGCGCCGGUGUUUUUCAGCCCGAAGGGCAUUGUGUUGAAGCAGAAUGGGCCGUAUGGUGUGAUGAAUGCUGUUGCAGCUUGGUCUGAUUCUGCCAUCUUGAUUUGAUGGUAACCGGAGUAUGCGUCGAGGAAACACAACAAAUCGUGUUCUGCGGUGGCAUCGAUAAUUUGAUCGAUACGGGGGAGGGGGAAGGGAUCCUUUGGGCAAGCCUUGUUAAGGUCUUUAAAAUCGACACACAGGCGCCAAGAUUUGUCCUUCUUUGGUACCAUCACUAGGUUUGCUAGCCAGUCCGGAUGUUUUAUGUCUCUGAUGAAUCCAGCCUCUAAUAGCUUGGCUAGCUCCUCUCCCAUAGCCUAUCUCUUGGGUUCGGAAAAAUGCCGAAGGGCUUGUUUGACAGGUUUAAAUCCUUUUAGGAUAUUUAAGAUGUGUUCGGCCAGCCUGCGUGGGAUCCCUGGCAUGUCUGAAGGGUGCCAGGCGAAGAUGUCCCAGUUCUCUCAUAGGAACUCUCGCAGUGCGGCGUCUGCAUCAGGGGUCAGUCGUGCCCCGAUGGAAGCUGUUUUAUUGGGGUCCAUUGGAUGGACCUGGAAUUUGACUAUUUCGUCAGCUGGCUUGAAGGACGUGGAUUUGGAUCUCUUAUCGAGUAUCACAUCAUCCCUGUUAACCGUGGAGCGCAGCGCAGUCAGUUCCUCGGCCGCUAAGGCUUCGGAUAGCGCCUCAAGGGCUAAUGCGGCCGUCUUGUUUUCGGCGCGGAGUGCUAUGUCCGGAUCAAUAGCUAGAGUGAUAAUUCCAUUCGGCCCGGGCAUCUUAAGCUUCAUGUACCCGUAAUGGGGUAUUGCUUGGAACAUUGUGAAUGCUUCCCGCCCUAGUAAAGUGUGAUAUCCGCCGUAAUGGGGUAUUGCUUGGAAUCUGGCCCAAUAAUGAUGUACUGUUUCCUCGGGCCUCUGCCUGAUUUGGGAGAGAUCGCUUAUGAUCGGGUGGGCGGGUGUCAUUGAAUCUGAAACCUCACCCAAUCCAAGAUUCGGAGGCCGAAGAGUUUCCGAACUCUGAAGUUCGGAUUCUUGGAUGUUGUCCAGUGGAUCUGGCCCGUUGCCUGAUCCUAAGCUCAGGUCUUGAGUUACAUCUCCCCCUCCGCGGGUAUCCGGAUUGGAGGGGUCGGGAAUUCGGACGUAGCUAGUCCUUAAAAUAGAUGAAGGGUCGCCGCACUGCGUCUCUACCACGGCAAUGUGGUGGGUGACUUGGGGAGAGUUAAUUUCUUUUAGAUCGGGUUUAAGCCCAACCUGGUCGUAAUCCGUAGCGACCCCCAGGGCGGCGAUGCGAUCCAAGAGCUUGUUUAGGGAAGAGAGCUCCAUUGGAUCUAGCUGCUCGACGAGCUCCGAGCUGACGUGUAGGUUGCUUUUGAUGACCCGAGAGGUCACCGUCGGCGCAACAGCCGAACAUGCGGUCAUGAGGAAACCACCUAGCCGGAGGGUUUGGCCGACAGCCAAGGCUCCCUUAGCAACGGUGCCGUCUUUAAAGACGGGAGGAGGCAUCCUUCCUGAUUGUGACGGCACAGAGGAACUCUCAAUGAAAGCACCAAUGUCGGUGUCAAAACCGGCGGAUCUCGGGUAGUGGGUCCCGAACUGUGCGUCUAGGCCGGAUGGUAACAGGAGGCAGGGAACACGAUGUUUUACCCAGGUUCGGGCCCUCUUGAUGGAGGUAAAACCCUACGUCCUGCUUCAUUAAUAUUGAUGAUAUGGGUAGUACAAGAGUAGAUCUACCACGAGAUCAAGGAUGCUAAACCCUAGAAGCUAGCCUAUGGUAUGAUUGUUGUAUAUGGAGUUGAUUGCCUACGGACUACAACCCCCCGGUUUAUAUAGACACCGGAUAGGGUUAGGGUUACAUAGAGUCGGUUACAAUGGUAGGAGAUCUUGAAUAUCCGCAUCGCCAAGCUUGCCUUCCACGCCAAGGAAAGUCCCAUCCGGACACGGGACGAAGUCUUCAAUCUUGUAUCUUCAUAGUCCUGGAGUCCGGCUGAAGGUAUAGUCCGGCUACCCGAACACCCCCUAAUCCAGGACUCCCUCAACACUUAAAGAGGAUAAAGAGCAUUAUGCUGACCCCGAAAGGAAACGAUGAUAAGCGUGUGAAACUGUGCAAAAUGGCUACCAACCCAUGCGUGAAGGAAUUUAGGUUUUAAGCAAUUAAAUGAGAGGAGCUUAGAUACAAAAGUUCAGCACCUAUGUAUUGAGAAGAUUAGUUACUAUGGUUGUUAAUGCACUUAGCAUUUCACCUAAGCACCAAUGCAUUGGAAGAUGUGACAAAUUUCAUGUGAAACGCAGCAGCAAUGUUUGGUCGGUGAAAAAAACAAAUUUGGGGUCACAUUUUUGGAUGACAUUUGGUCUUUUUUUUGCACAUGCCAAAAUGCUUAACCUUUUUGCCUCCAUAUCUGCAGGUAGCAUUUGUAUGUGACUAAGAUCACAUAAAAAUUUUGUCUUGAUUUUUUUCACAUUCGACAAAUUAUUUUUGGGCCCGGGAGCAUGUGCUCCCGUGAGCCAAAUUGAAUUUCCGGAAAGAUAGUCGAUUCCAAUGAAAUUUGGUGUAAAGAAAAUACAUAGAACAUUGUGUCAAGGAUGGUCAAAAUAACAGCUGGUGUACUCAAAUAAUAACUCCUAAUAAAUAAAUAGUUUUAAAAACUCUGAAUAAAACACGCGAGAAUAGUUUACGUACAGACAUGUAGCCCACUGAAAGAGUGGCCUUUUCUUUUCCCGCCAAGACACCAACCAUGCCAUAUGCCAACCACACCUGUCAUCAUUAUUUUCGUUUGGCAUUACAGUAUUUUACUCCCUGGACCACAUUCUUUGCACACCAGAAUCAAUAAACGUUGACGACGAGGGCCACGAGGGGUGCCAUCCAUGCCAACCCGGCCUGCAUGAUUAAGUCUGAACUGCUGUCCCUCGUGGAUACUCGGCGACCGGCGACCUCACCAGACCCCAUCCGGCACCAACCCCGCGCUCCGGGACACCUAUUUAUAGCUCUCGCCGCGCACGCUCUGGGCAACCAAGCAGCCGCUGCAACAUACUGCAACUACUUUGCACUAGCAACACAACGCUCUGACUGAGCUCAUAGCCUUCGCGCCUGCCCGUCUUAACUAGUUGAUCGCCGCAGCAAUGGCCUCCACCAACAGCUGGACCCACGAGAUUGAGUCCUCGGUCGCGGCACCGCGCCUGUUCCGUGCCGGCGUCAUGGACUGGCACACUCUGGCACCCAAGCUCGCGCCCCACAUCGUCGCCAGCGCCCAUCCCGUCAACGGCGAAGGCGGCAUCGGCAGCGUCAGGCAGUUCAACUUUACCUCAGGUACGUACGCAUCACAAUCCCAUACAACCCAUGCGUGUCACCUCAGUCUAGAAAUCCGGCGUGUAUCUAUACAUGGUCAAGCGAAAGCAUAACACGCAGUUGAUCAUGCAGCCAUGCCCUUUAGCGUCAUGAAGGAGAGGCUAGAGUUCCUGGACGAGGAGAAGUGCGAGUGCAAGUCAACCCUCAUCGAGGGCGGCGGCAUCGGCUCGGCCAUCGAGACCGCAACGUCGCACAUCAAGGUGGAGCCGGCGGCCAACGGCGGGAGCGUCGUGAAAGUGGACUCGACGUACAAGCUGCUGCCAGGCGUGGAGGUGAAUGACGAAAUCACCAAGGCCAAGGAAUCCGUCACCGCCAUCUUCAAGGCCGCCGAGGCCUACCUCAUCGCCAACCCCGACGCCUACAACUGAAUCUGUUGAGAGAUAUCAUACAUGAUUAUGAUGUCCCUAGUUUGAAUUCCGUGUGUUUUCUUCCCGAUGUAAUAAAGCUGUUCCAAUCUCUAAGCUAUAAUAGUGACGCCGAGCACGAGAGCACCGCCAGAGUGUGGACGUGAGAAGUUAAAAGGUUGAGUAUUUGUAACUACCAAAGGGUUCUGUUGUUUGAUGAUAUUGGUGCUUGCUUAUGUGAAAUACCUAAACACUCUUAUAUACUGCCUCAAUUCUAUAAUUCUUGUCAUAGUUUUAGUUUUGACCUAAAAGCACAACAAGAAUUACGGAACGGAGGGAGUUUUUGGAUUUGGAAGUUUAUGUGUCGACCUCUUACACAAAUCCUAUAUGUAUGUGAAAUACCUAAACACUGUCCCGAAAAUAGAAAAACUAAACACUCUUAUGUGCAAAAAACAAAAAUGUUUGCAUGUCAUCAAAGUCUGUUUAUAGGAAUCCAAGAAAGACAUUUAUUUGCUACUCCAUUUGCUUCUAAAUAUAAAUCCUUUUAGAGAUUUUAAUAUGGAUACCAUAAGUAGCAAAAUGAGUGAAUCUAAACUCUAAAAUACGUUUGUAUACUUAUGUAUGUAGUCCAAAUUAAAAUCUCUAAAAUCCUUAUAUUUAGAAUGGGAGGGAGUCGAACAUAAUUUCGUUUUCUCUUUUCAAGUUGUAAGAGACAGUUGACAUGUCAUUGUGUUUUAUUUUGGCACCAUUUUUCGACAAGUGCAUCUAUUAUCUAUUGGGUCCUUGUUGGCAAGUGAAAUCCACGUUCUUCAUGUAUCCCCUUUUCAAAGCGAACUUACAUUUGUGUGUAAUGAAUAAAAUGCAAAUUGUAUCAGGAGUCCUUAAACUACCACAACCUUCUUACUUGCCUUUUAAUUUUUUUAUUUUGAGACUCCGUAAUCUUUUGUCCAUUUCUCCCAUGACUCCUUUUAACCAUCAGACUAAAAAAUUCCGUUUGAGCCAUGGGCACAAGGGUGGGAAUAUCAUACGAGAAACUAAACAGGUUUACAGGGGCCCAUAAUAUCGCCGAAAAUAAGAGAGCCAACUCAGAAGUUGUGAUAGCCCCCACCACCACCCACACACACUAAAGAGCAUCGAUAGAUUAGGAAGUAUCGUGGUACGAGGAAUAUAUAAGUUUGCAACACUAAUGGAAAAUUAGUAUUUGUUUCUCUUCUACUGUCUACUGAAAUAGGAUGUUCUUUUCAUCGCCCCUCCUAGCCUAGAGACCCUCAUCCGAUUUGAUACCUUCCUCCCAACUGCCUAUCAAACUUUGGUCAUUUUUCUUGCUGUUAUGAUGUUGGUUUCCAUUUUGAGGUUCCAAAAUAUAUUGGGAACUACUAAAAUCGCUACUUAUUUGACAAAGCUAGGAUAAAGCUAAAGAUAAACACACUCAUUCCUCCUCCCCAAGAAAAGAACCAGGGCGAUCGGGUUUCCUCCUCCUCCCGUCAGCGCCAUCGCCGGUUCGCCCCAUCUCUGAUGGCCUUUGGUCCGUCACUACUAGAAAAAGGGCUAUAGAUAAAAUUGACACUAAUGGCGCACCAUGUGCCGAUGCGCCAUUAGUGUGGAAGACACUAAUGGCGCACCAGACACAAGGUGUGCCACUAGUAACAUUUUUUUUCAUUUUUCCAAACAUACUAAUGGUGCAUCCAGGCAAAGUGCGCCAUUACUAGUUCUAACUAGUAAUGGCGCACCAGCCAUAGAGUGCGCCACUACUGUAUUUUUUUUAUUCUUGUUUUUUGCAAAACUACUAAUGGCGCACCGUGGCACAGUGCGCCAUUACUAGUUUACACNNNNNNNNNNNNNNNNNNNNNNNNNNNNNNNNNNNNNNNNNNNNNNNNNNNNNNNNNNNNNNNNNNNNNNNNNNNNNNNNNNNNNNNNNNNNNNNNNNNNNNNNNNNNNNNNNNNNNNNNNNNNNNNNNNNNNNNNNNNNNNNNNNNNNNNNNNNNNNNNNNNNNNNNNNNNNNNNNNNNNNNNNNNNNNNNNNNNNNNNNNNNNNNNNNNNNNNNNNNNNNNNNNNNNNNNNNNNNNNNNNNNNNNNNNNNNNNNNNNNNNNNNNNNNNNNNNNNNNNNNNNNNNNNNNNNNNNNNNNNNNNNNNNNNNNNNNNNNNNNNNNNNNNNNNNNNNNNNNNNNNNNNNNNNNNNNNNNNNNNNNNNNNNNNNNNNNNNNNNNNNNNNNNNNNNNNNNNNNNNNNNNNNNNNNNNNNNNNNNNNNNCUACUAAUGGCGCACGACUAGCAGGUGCGCCAUUAGUAUGUUGGGCUACUAAUGGCGCAUGGCUGGGUGGUGCGCCAUUAGUAACCUGGGACCAGCUAGAUAUUUUGGACAGCCACACCUACACACUCACUUUCCCCACUUCAUUUCCUCCACCUCCUUCUCCAAGCUUGUCGGCUGCCUCCUUCUCCUCACCUCAUUUGCACUAUAGAUUCAUCAAAAUUAAGUGGUGAAAUUACCUUUUUUUGAUAGGUAAGUAAGGGGAAAGCUAUCUUCAUGUUGUAGAUCUACUUUUUUUCUCCCUAGCUCGCUCCAACAACAUGCACAUGCACUUUUUGUGGCCUAGCUAGAUCUAUGUAUGUUUGUGGUGUUGCAUAUAUGUCUGUGUUUGCAGGUACCGGUAUUUGAAAUGCGAUAGUUGCCGAUAUUUUGCAGGAAUGUUGAUUCAUUUCUGUUUCGGCGAGAAUUUUGGCACUAUGCAUUCUUUUUGGUCCUAUUUUUAGGAAAAGUCAUGCCAAAUUUUUUCUUGGUUCUAAAAUAUCGUUUUGCUCUACCCCGCAGGCGACCAUGGUCCGCACGAUGACCGAAGGCAUCGUGAAUAGGUUUUUGAGCUCCACAAAGGCCAAGAUGCUUCAAAAGAAUGAGAUGGAGAUAAGAUGUCCGUGUCGAAGAUGCAAGCUGAAGAGCCUUAUUGCGGAACCGGAUUCCGGGCAGGUGCGGGACCACCUGCUCUUGCGUGGUUUCAUGGAUGGCUAUCGGUGGCAAGGUGAUGAAGAUGACUAUGAAGUCGUCCAUGGGGGCCGGGCAAGAAAUGAGGAAGGGCAGCAAGACAACCACCGCGGCUCGGGCGGGCGAGAAGACGAAGAAUCUCCAGGACAUGAUCACGACGGUGAUGCUGUACACAGUCAUCAUGUAGAAGAUGCCGGACAUGAUGAUGAGGAAGAUGCCGGAGCAGACAAAGGGCAUGAUCAUGAAGAUGAAGAUGCCGGCGGAGCAGACGACGAUGGACCAUCGAUGGGCUGGGUGCAGGACCCUCGUAUUCAAGAGCUGCUUCUCAAGCAGACGGAUAACGCAAGAGCUGCCGCCCGAGAGAAAGCCAAGCUGGAUCAACUGGAGAUAGACGCGGUUACUCCAUUGUAUGAAGGAUGCAGGCCUGAGGAUACCCGCCUGAAAGUAACGCUCGUGCUCUGGAGAUGAAGGUAAAACACAAAAUGACCGACGCAUGCUUCGACGAGAACAUGUCAUUCUGGCAUGAACGUCUUCCCAAGGGGAACAAGUGCCCUACCAGUUUCGAGGAGGCGAAGAAAAUCGUGUGUCCUCUGGAUUUACCGCAUGUGAAAUACCAUGUGUGCAUGAACAAUUGCAUCAUUUAUCGGGACGAGCACGCGGAGUCUACCAUAUGUCCGGUGUGCGGCGUCACUCGAUACAAGAAGAGAAAGAAAGCUCCUCGAAAAGUGAUGUGGUACUUUCCGAUCACUCCUCGUCUGCAGCGGUAUUUCGCGGACCCUAAGGUAGCAAAGCUCCUGCGUUGGCACGCGGAUAGGGAGAAGAAGAAGCGAGAAAAUGACGCAAAUGAUCCGGAGAUAAAUAAAAAAGACAAGAUGUUGAGUCACCCUAAGGAUGGGAGCCAGUGGAUAGCGUUGAACUUCGAACACCCAGAAUUUGGGAAGGAUCCAAGGAACAUCGUGCUGGGCGCGAGCACCGAUGGAGUCAAUCCGUUUGGCAGCCAUAGAAGCACACAUAGCAUCUGGCCUGUGUUUGUGUGGAUGUACAACCUUCCCCCUGGUUGUGCAUGAAGAGGAAGUACAUUCACAUGAGUAUGCUAAUUGAAGGGCCGAAACAACCAGGGAACGACAUCAAUAUGUAUCUGGGGCUGCUGAAAGAGGAGCUAGACACGCUGUGGAAAAUGCCAGCCAAUACGUGGGACGCCGCAAAGAAAGAAUAUUUCCCUAUGAGAGCCACACUUCUCACGACGGUGCACGACUAUCUCGGUUACGGAUAUCUCGCGGGGCAGGUGGUCCACGAAUUUUUUGGAUGCGUCAGGUGCAUGGAUGACACAAUGUAUCGCCAGCUAGAUAGAGAUCCCGGGUCUUCGAAAACCGUCUUCAUGGGACAUCGAAGGUGGCUUCGCGACGAUGACCCGUGGAGGAAACACAAGGAUCUGUUCGAUGGUGAAACCGAACCCCGAAGACGCAAGGAUCCGGACGAUGACGACGGUACAUUUACCAACGUCGAUAAGUACUUUGCCGAACAUGGGUACGGUGACGAGUUCUGCGGGCCUCCUUCUCAAGAACCCAACCAAGACGACCGCGAUCUAGCUGGUAUGGCGGAGAAACCCAGUUGCAACAGGCUUCGUCUGGCGUUCAGUUCUCAGGAGACGCCUCCAGCUGCCGCCUUCACUGAGCCUCAGAUAGCUGAGGUGCGAAAUAUUAUUAGCCCCAACACGCUCAAGAAGGCGGUCUGUGAGCAGAACUCGGUCCCAUUACAGCAGAUCAAGAAGAAGAGCCGGAAACGAAAGACUAAAAAGGGCGCCGGCGCGAGCCAGCCGACACCGAGUACGAUCCGUGCUCAGGACGGGCCACCUUCAUCUAAGGAUAUCUCGAGGAGGGUGCAUGUGGCAGGUAGGGCGAUGCUACCGACAAAUAUGCUCAAUGCUGCAACCGGUGCUAUGCGGAGUCUGCACGACAGUGUUCUUUCUUUGGAGAAGCGGCGUCUCAGAGAGAAUGAUGUGGCAUACCCGGUUUUCGUGGCCAAGGUGCCAGAGGGCAAGGGCUUUAUGGAUGGCGCCGUCGGGGGUAUGAUUGUCCUGCGGUUUGAUGACAUCUUUGUUAUGUUUAACCUUCAUCCGCUGCACUACACCUUAGUUCGGUUGUUUUCGCUAAGUAUGGAGAUGCGGAUCAUUAGAGACAAGACCCCGGACAUCGUGAUAGUCGACCCCUUCUACUUGCGUGCCAAGCUCUUGAGCAGCGCUGGGGACCGCCAAUUCGCGACUUCACACCUCGAAGGCGUCAUUCUGGCAAACCCAGAUAAGGAUAACUUCCUUGUGGCUUACUUUCCCGAGUAAGUCAUCCCUUAACCGCCCCAAUACAUAUGAUUUCUUAGAUUUCGAUCGUUCUUUUUUUUCUAACAUUCCGUGUUAUGUGCAGUGACACACAUUGCACACUCAUCCUCUUAAGCCCGAAAUAUUCCAUGGCCACAUAUUUCGACCCGAACCGUGGAUCCAAGAUAGACUACACAAAUAUCAAGAAAGUUCUUGAUGAUGUUCUCCCCGGCUAUGCCAAAUCUGGAGGCACCUUCACCAGGGCAGUUCGUAAGUAUGGCAAGCAUGUGGUCGCCCACAAUACUAAGUUUUGCUGCGUCAAGCAGCCACCUGGCUGCCAGAAGGAUGCCUACUACGCCCUCCAUCACAUGUGGGCGAUCGUAAGGGACCAUCAUCACCUUCUGCUACCAGAUAAUCUCAAAGAUUGGGCCGCGAGCUUGUCGGCAAUCCAGGACACGGACAUCAGACAAGAAUUCUUUCGCAUCCAGUCGGAGUUUACGGACAUCAUCCAUCAAGAUGUCCUUCAUACCUCGGGGCAGUUCUACCUCAGAUAUCAACCGUCCAACAGUGAGAUAGACGGAACGCUACAAAUGUAGGCUGACAACGCCAGUGAUUUCAUGACCAUCACGACAGACGACGGCUUCAUCCACGCUCCUAUCCCAUGAGUCGAGUCGAAAGUAGUGAUGUGUAGUUCUGAAACAUUGAUUGGCUCAUGUUGUAAUUAAACUUUAAUGAAUUGUAUGUCUCUUUGGUUUGGACAGUCGUUCAACUUAGAUGUAAUCGAUACUAUUUAUUAGUAGGACCAUGAAUCGUGCUAUUAAUGUCUUGCUUUUCUCUUUCGAUCCUUUUGCUGCAUACUUAUAUAUUGCUUAUGUAUGGUCUGUUGUUUGGCUUGUGCAUAGAGAUGCCGUCGUAUGUCGUGUACAAGGGUAAGGUUCCCGGAGUCUACGACGAAUGGAAGGAGUGUCAGAGACAGGUUCACUGUUUCGGCGGUAACAGUUACAAAGGGUACACCACUAGGGCGGAGGCGGAAUCUAGAUACGCCCGCUAUCUAGCGGGAGAGAGAGGAGGGAGCGUUGGAGGAACCGGAUGAAGACCAGUUUCAUCGCGAUGAUACUCAUCAUGAUGACCGCAGCUCUCUUCUAUGUGAUGGUAGUUUAGAUGAUCGAUAUCAACUUGUAAUGUGAAGACAAACUCGAUACUCGCGGUCUCGAGACUUGUAAUGUUUUAUCUUUGUUCGGUCUUUUGAAUUCGGAGACUAAUAUGAUGAAUUGUAUUCGGAGACUAAUCUUCUAUUGUAUUCGAUGAAUCUGCUGUUGCUGUGUACUGUUGUCUAUAUUCUGUCCAAUAAUAUAUUUUGUAACCUGUGCAAAAAUCAGAAAAGUAAAAAAACCUAAUAUUCAUAUUAAUGGCGCAUCACCUCAAGGUGCGCCAUUAGUAUGCCAAAGGAUACUAAUGGCGCAUCACUACGGAGUGCGCCAUUAGUAUGCCAAAGGAUACUAAUGGCGCAUCACCCCAUAGUGCGCCAUUAGUAUGCCAAAGCACACGGUUAAAUAUGGCCCCCCUGGGAGGCAUACUAAUGGCGCAUGGUGUUCUAUACUAAUGGCGCACUGCGUGGUGCGCCAUUAGUAUAUCAGAUACUAAUGGCGCACCAGUGGUGCGCCAUUAGUAAAAAAUAAUAGUGGCGUGAUACUAAUGGCACACCAGUAGUGCGCCCUUAGUAGGCAAAACUGGUGCGCCAUUAGUAGGCCUUUUCCUAGUAGUGCGUGGAGGUGCGAAGGACCUCGACCCUUCGCCGGCAGGAGGGACCCCACUCUCGUUCUUGUUAGGUUCAUCCUCUUGGUUGGGGUUAUAUGAUGGUGGCGAUGUCCCUCAAUAGGAAUCAUGUUGGUCACAUUCAAUCCCCGUCCCCAUGGUGCAUCUACAAUCGUUGGAGGGCGUUUGGAGGUGUGUAUUCACCAGAUCUCCCGGGAUUCAGUCGGUGCCGGUCUUUAGAAGAUCUAUUUUAAUCUAGUAUUUCUUUGGGUGCUUAUGACGUUUGAUCCUUUCGAUCUACGAUUCUCUUCAUCGGUGAUGGUUGCUACUCUAGUGUGUUGGUCCUGUGGGGCUUUAGCACGAUGACUUCCUGGCUGUCUACUAUAACAAGAUUUGCGAAACUCAAGUGAGGGAGGGGCGAUGACAUCGUCGUGCCUUUGGCUUGAUCUAGUGCUUGUAGUCGUUCCUAGGUGAUAAUUUUCUUAUAAUUUUUGUGACCUCUGAUGUUCUCUUUACUCAUGAUUGAUUAUGAAUAGAUCGAAAGUUUAUCAUGUGGAAACUACAUAGUUUAUCUUUUGGAUUUUUUACACGGAGGCCUUGGCCUCAAUCAACUAAUUAAAUAGAACAGAGUUGUCAUGUUAAUUUGGGUAAAAUCAGGCGAAAACCGAAAUUAUGCGCACAAAGGCCGAUCGUCCUGUAGCAUGACAAUUGCCAAUAGGGAAUCCCCGACCAAUAUUACUACCGACACAAACUUAUAGAUACGCCGGUAAUAAGAGAACAACCGUCAAGACUGCCCAUAAGCACCAAGGUCAUCACCAACCACCUUUGAUCCAGCUAGUCUGACUUUGCCACACACAAUCACCAACGAUGCUAUCCUCGCGACAUCUGUACAAGCACCGUAGCGCCAACAAUAGGUACUCCAACUUUGACAACAAGGUUUACAAGAGAAAUAUGCAAGGCAUGCGCUGCCCUAGCCCCCCGAUAUGGGCACCUUCAUAUUUCAUUCUCACCAGCAAAACCACCACGCCAGCUCCAAUUUCGCAAGGAAUGAUGAAACCCGAAAAGACCCAUCGGACAAAUCCAAAAGGUUUAAUGCCGAAGCAUGCAAAAAUUAUGCGGAACCUCAGUGUUGUCAUCAUCGCUAACAAACCAUGCUGUACGGAUCUAGAGUAGUCUCCUUGGCAUCCACGCCGAACAAUCGAUCCAGUCCCGGCUCUAGCAAUCGAACCGUGGACAUCCAUGUUGACCCCUAUACUCACACGAAUUGUAUUCGAGUGAACCUUUGGUUACCAUAUUCUAUUCCUUUUGCUUUAUGAUACUUUACAAAACUCCAGGUCAGAUAUAUCNNNNNNNNNNNNNNNNNNNNNNNNNNNNNNNNNNNNNNNNNNNNNNNNNNNNNNNNNNNNNNNNNNNNNNNNNNNNNNNNNNNNNNNNNNNNNNNNNNNNNNNNNNNNNNNNNNNNNNNNNNNNNNNNNNNNNNNNNNNNNNNNNNNNNNNNNNNNNNNNNNNNNNNNNNNNNNNNNNNNNNNNNNNNNNNNNNNNNNNNNNNNNNNNNNNNNNNNNNNNNNNNNNNNNNNNNNNNNNNNNNNNNNNNNNNNNNNNNNNNNNNNNNNNNNNNNNNNNCAGGUUUGAGUGAGUGUGAGGGCGGCAACCCACAACCUCGCCGGUGAUCGCUCUGACGCCGGCGGCCACCAUCGAGCCCUGCUGCCAUCGCCUUCCCGGCGGCAAGGGCGCCCAACACCACUCGCCAGUGGCCACCCUGUCGUGCCGCCACCAACGACCUUGCUGCUGCUCGAGCGAUGAUCGCCCUGUCACCGACGGCCGCCAUCGACAGCCGACCUCCCGUUGCUGGUGAUCAUCAUCGUCCACGACCGGCUCUGUAGUUUAGCUCCUCCAGGUGGGCCAAACGCCAGAGAGGCUAGCAGGUUUGCUCUUUGCCCUAGUUUGCCGCGUCUGUUGUCGACCAAGUCCACCGCUGUUAGCAGUCAUUCCGAUCCACCCUGCUCGUUCUCCCACCCUUAGUAGUCAGUACACUCUCUCCAUCUCAUUUAUUUAUUCCAAGAGCUCCCUCUCUUGAUGCAUGACAACCACUGCUUCUGUAGACUUGAUUAGAUCCUAGCUUGCUGCUCUCCUUGUACGACUAAGCUUGUAGUAACAGCUCUUUCACGCCCUUGGGGAGGUUUGUUUCCUUGCAUGCAUGAUGAGCCCUAGCUCGUCCUCGAGUUCUAGAAGAUAUGAACACUCCUGACGAUGUAGGAUUUAGAGAAGCCAUGCAGCCACUGGACGAAGAGGGGCCUGUUUUGAGAGUUGCAUGCUCGAGCGGUACAGCUAUGGUACUAUCUCGGUCAUCGCCGGAGCCAGAUGCCCCACCGUGCUGCACGCCGCCUGUCGGUGUCAAAACCAGUGGAUCUCGGGUAGGGGGUUCCGAACUAUGCGUCUAAGGCGGAUGGUAACAGGAGGCAGGGGACACGAUGUUUUACCCAGGUUCGGGCCCUCUUGAUGGAGGUAAAACCCUACGCCCUGCUUGAUUAUUCUUGAUAAUAUGAGUAGUACAAGAGUAGAUCUAUCACGAGAUCAGAGAGGCCAAACCCUACAAGUUAGCCUAUGGUAUGAUUGUAUGUUGUCCUACGGACUAAAACCCUCCGGUUUAUAUAGACACCGGAGGGGGCUAGGGUUACACAGAGUCGGUUACAAGGAAGGAGAUCUGCAUAUCCGUAUUACCAAGCUUGCCUUCCACGCCAAGGAGAGUCCCAUCCGGACACAUGACGAAGUUUUCAAUCUUGUAUCUUCAUAGUCCAACAGUCCGACCAAAGGAUAUAAUCCGGCUGUCCGGAUACCCCCUAAUCUAGGACUCCCUCAGUAGCCCCUAAACCAGGCUUCAAUGACGAUAAGUCCGGCGCGCAGAUUGUCUUCGGCAUUGCAAGGCGGGUUCCUCCUCCGAAUACUUCAUAGAAGAUUUUCAACACAAGGAUCGUGUCCGGCUCUGCAAAACAAGUUCCACAUACCACCAUAGAGAGAAUAAUAUUUCCACAAAUCUGAUCUGCUGACGUACCCCGUAGCGUGGCAUCACACCACAGCCAGGUCUUUAUUCGAAUCUUUUUCAUAACCUAUCUCAGCGUGUUUCGUGAGGCAGUUUCCUUGGCACCUCUUGUCGAAGCAGAGAUCGUGUCCCCCUAUUACGAGAUUCCCAUCAAUACGGACAUGGGUAACCCAACUACGCCAUCAAUUACGGCGCUUGGGGAUAAGCGAGUUUUACCAGGCUGGUGGGGGCGCAUAGUUUUGUCCGCCCUUAUAAAGGGAUAAGGUUUCACCUUCUUCUACCCACGCCUUCUUCCUCCUUGCUCAUCCAUUUUCGCGCACUCGAGCUCCAGCGCCCAAGUCCACAUCCUUCUCCUCAACUCUCUCCAAACAUGUCUAGAGUGGGAGGCAAGUGGAUGGCCUCCUCCGUCACGGAGGGUCACAUCAAAAACUACGUGGAGCCGGAUACUUAGCCGUGGAUAUUGCGCACCGGCUGCCAGCCGCGGGCAGAUCGUCCCUACCCCGGAAUCUCACGAAAGGGUGGUUUUCCUCCCCCACUUUGUCCACGGACUGGCGUUUCCCCUCCAUCCAUUCGUCCGUGGCCUCAUGUUCUAUUACUAGCUGGACUUUCAUGAUCUGGCCCCGAAUUUCAUCCUCAACAUGUCGGCGUUCAUCGUCGUGUGCAAGGCUUUCCUCCGCAUUCGGCCCCACUUCGCCCUAUGGCUGAAAACCUUCAAUAUCAAGCCGAAGGUAGUAGGCGGCCAACAAGCGGAAUGCGGCGGGGCCAUGGUGGGAAAAAUCCCCAACGUUACAUGGCUCGAGGGCUCCUUCGUGGAGACCAUAAAGGGGUGGCAAUCGGGGUGGUUCUACAUCACCGAGCCGCGUGACACCAACUGGGUGGUGGCCCUUGAGUUUCAAUCCGGAAUCCCCACGCGGCUCACUUCCUGGAAGGAGAAGGGCCUGUCUUGGGGCUCAUCGGUGGAGCUGGAUGUUCUCCAGAAGUGUAUCCGGAACAUGACAAGCAAGAAACUUAAGCUUGUCAACAUAGUCUAGGUCAUGCUCUUCCGCCGAAUCCUCUCGUGUCAACAACGGGCUUUCAACUUAUGGGAGUUCAACCCGGCCCAGCACCAGACUCUAUGCGAGCUCUUCGACACGACGCAUAAGAACAUCUGGAAGGUGCUGUUCAAGGGCGCCGAGGUCCCCCCUUCUCUUACCUAGGACCGCGAGCUAAGCGCGAAGCGCCCUGCGAAUCCGGUAAGUUCUGUACAUCUGGUAGGGUAUUUAUUUCCCAUAGCUUUAACCAUGUGCGGGGUCUGAGCUCCCAUGCCUUUGACAGGACUGGGUGGAGACAUCGGAGCAGAUUAACUGUCCGGCCCCUCUGCCCGAAGACCCUGCAGACGCUCUCCUGACGGAGAGGCGGACUCCGGCUCCUUAUGAGGUGCCGGAGAAGACCAAGAAGAAGGCCACGGGAACCCGAAAGAGUUCCCGGCUCUAGGUGGUAUCGGACACAUCGUCCGAUAACUCCGAGACGCACUCCUCCUGUGAAAAUGAGGAGAAGGAAGAUGAAGAUUCUCCCCCUCCAGCUGGGGGAGACAAGAAAAGGAAGGCCGCCCCAACUGGGGAGGCCGAAGGGUCCAAGAAGGGAAGGACUCUCCUUCCGGACUGCUCCACCACCGCCGUCGACGGCGAAGACGAGUGGCUACUCAGGGCCAAGCCCCUGGCGAAGUCGUAAGUAUUCGGAUACCAGAGUAACUCAUAUCAUACUUUUGUUGCACUGCUUCUCCUAACGUCGAAUAUGAUUAUGCGGUCCGCCCCAAGCCCGUAUCGACGUAUGCUCAUCGGAUGGUUCCUUGGACUCGUCGGAUAUGGAUAGUGAUACACUUCCAACCGCCUCCUCUCCUUGCCCUACGGGCAAUGUCGAGGUGUUGUCUCAAGGGGCACCGAGCCGGGGGGAGGUAGUUCCGAAGGCGCCUCAAGAUGAACUUCCGGACUCCAGGCGCGAAGGGAGCAAGACUCCCCAGGGCUCCAAGUUCGGCCCCUAGCCGAACACCGCGCCAGAACCUCCAGUGGUUCCGGACUCUGGCAGGCGGCCCCCUUCCAAGAGGGGCAAGCCGCCCGUGCCGAUGACCUCUGUCCAUCCAGAGGCACCGGACAACCUGCUGGGAGUGCUUCAUGGCGCUUCCAUCGACGAAGAGCACCGCACUAUUAUGAGUGCGGUGAUCAAGAAGGUUCAGUCCGCCAAGAGCGGACUGACUAAAGGCUGUGCCAUCCUUCUAACAGGCUUUGAGGUAAGUAUUUUAAAUAUAGGAAAAUAUUACCGCAUAAACAGUAGCCCAUGAUGCUCUGUUUGGUGUUCACAAAGAAAAGCCGAAUAGAGGAUCAAAUAAUAUCUGCAGGAGUCUAAUAUAAGUAUGUCUAUAUGCGUAUGCAGGCUUCGCUGCUGACCUCUACCGCACUGACUGCGGAGGUCGCCGCACUGAAGCAGGACCUCGAGCGGUCUGAGAAAAAGCUCGGCCCUGCCAAGAGGCAGCUAUAUAUAUGCGCAGCUAUAUAUAUAUAUAUAUAUAUAUAUAUAUAUAUAUAUAUAUAUAUAUAUAUAUAUAUAUAUAUAUAUAUAAAUACUAUUCUGAUCACGGGAUCAGAAUAAUAUUCUGAUCACAACAUGAACUUCCCGAGUACCGCGCCUGACCUUCCCCGAGUACUAGGUUGAACUUCAACUAAAAGGUGUCCAAAUUAAAUAUUUGGAAAGCUAUAGACAUCAGUAUCAUGACCCAACUUAAUUUUUUGGCAAAAUGUAAGCGGUUUAAGAGCGGUUUUGAAAAUCGUUUUUUCUUCAUACAAAAAAACGUGAAUCGUAUUUUCGACCGCAUUUUAAACCAUUUAUCGGGAUGAGGCAAAUAAUAUGGCGUUGUAAAGCUGCUGAAAAAACGCUCCUUCCACAUGUUGAAAGUUUUCUCUAAUUCCCUAUGGUUAAAAGGUAAUUCAGAAAAUCGUAGAAUUUCGCAAAUGAAACACCCGAGUUUGUAUUUUCGAUGCUCUUUCUAAACAGCUAAUCCAAUCGAGGCAAAUAAUAUGGUGUUUGAAAGCUUAUGAAAAUGCACUACUUUUUCAUGUUAAAAGUUGUUUCUAAUUUUGAACGGUUUAAAAGUAAUUUAGAAAACGGUACAAGUUCCACCAAGUUCGUAUUUUCGAGCUAAUUUUUUAACAGUACGUCCAAAUGCAGCAAAUGAUAUGGCGUUGGAAAGCUUGAAGAAAUGCGAAACUUUUUUGUAUAUAUUGUUUUUCCUAAUUCAUUACGGUUUUAUGUCAGUUUUGCAAAUGGCUAAAAACAUAUUUUUGUCGUAAUUUCUACAAACUUUAUCGGAAUGGGGCUAAUAAUAUACCGCUGAAAAGAUAUGGAAAAUCCGAAACUUUUUCAUGUUGAUGGUUUUCUAUGAUUCCUUGCCGUUUUCAAGUAAUUUCAAAAAUGACGAGAUCGUUCGUUCUGCCUUUAUCGCGAAACAGAUUCUUUGAAAAUGCACCGCGUGAAGAACCUGAACUUCUCGGCAUGUCUACUUGAACUUCACUCUGUUUUUCACAUGCUUUUUUUGCUCGUAGCUCUCCAUCCACUCACCGGAAUUGAGCAAGUGAUAUACCGAUGGAAAGCUGCUGUAAACACACAACUUUCCCGUGUUGAUCGUUUUUCAUACUCGCGACAAUUUUAAAAGUUUUUCAUCUCAGUUUCAUUCACUAUAGUAGUCGAACUUCCUGUUGUUUUCAUGUUGAACUUCCGUGACGUAUUUUCGUUUGUAAUUUUCUCAUCCAUUUCGUCAGUGUGUACACAAAUAAUAUUCUUUUUGUACAAACCUAUCUCACAAUAUUUUUUUAACUUUCUUCGACUGAGGACUUGAAGUUACCCAAAUGAUAUUCCUAUCAUUUUGAAGUAAAUUAGAGAAAUGACGAGAUCAUGAUUUCUGCCUUCAUUGCGAAAGGAAACGCACUGCGUGACGGGCAUGUCUGUUUGAAACUCACUCUGUUUUUGACGUGCUACUUUUUGCACCGCGUGAAGUAGUUGAAUUUCUGGGGCAUGUCUGUUUGAACUUCACUCUGUUUCACUUUAUUAUUAUUUUAUAUUAUAUGAAAUACACACCACGUAGUACGUGAACUUCUGGUUAUUAUCACUUUGCACUUCUCUCUGGUUUGAGAGAACUGUUUUAAAACACAAAAAACAACAUAUUUUUUAUGUAUUUUGGACAUCUAAAUACACGGUGAACCUCUCUCACAAGAAUUUGUUGAACUUUUCCUCACUGAGCACUUGAACUUCUAGCAACCAUUUUUUUCAUUUAUGAGUUGUUUUUAAAAGUGCAAAAAAUGGUGUUGUGUUUUCAUUUUUUGAACAGGUAAAUCCUAGGUUUAAUAAACUCUGAACUUCUCUGUUAUUUCAAUAUGAACUUCACCUUUUUAUAUUUUGAGUAAAGAAUUGUAUUUGAUUUUUAUACGGAAAAAAUCAAACAUGGAAAUACAAGGUGAACCUCUCUCGCGAGAAUUUUUGAACUUCUCUAGACAUAGUACUUGAACUUAUUUCAACAAAACUUUUAAGCUUUUAUAUUUCUAUACUUCUAUUUCUCACCUAAAUGCAUUCCUUACAGUACUUGAACUUCUCAUUGUCUUCACUAUGAACUUCUGUCACAUUUUAGUGUGUACGUCGAAUUACAUACAAUUGAAGGUCGGAUGUCAUUUCUUGCCAUCUUCAAACAUGUAAUUGGAUGUCGGACUUCCCGCAAUUAAAUUCUAAACCAUGCACGGAGGAGUACGGGAACUUCUUGCAACAUACCUUUUAAGAUUUUUGUUUUCUAUUCUUAAUUUUUAUCUGAAACGCAUUCCGUGUAAUAGUUGAACUUGUCACUGUUUUCACCUUGAACUUCUGUCACUUAUUUUUGUUCAAGCUCUCUCAUAAGAAUUUUUGCACUUUUUUCAUAAGGAAUGCCCACCGUGUAGUACGUAAACUUCUGGCGGUUAUCAACCUGAACUUCUCUCGGUUACGUGAAAAUAUCUGAGUUUUUUUAAAACAUUGAAGCGCUCCACCUAUUUUAACUUGAACUUCUUGGUUUUAUUAUUUGAAGCGGGAAAAUCCGUUAUUUUCAUAUAGAUUAAACUACUUCGUUAUUUUUAAUUUGAACUUCUUGGUUUUAUUUUUGAACACGAAAAAAUGGCAAUAUUUAUUAAGAUCGAACUACUUUGGUAGUUUAAUUGAACUUCUUGGGUUCUUUUCAGAAACAGAAAAAUCUGAAUUUUUAUUACGUUUCUAAAGAUCCAUUUUUUUCACGAUCGAACUACUCUUUUAUUUAAAUUCAAACUUCUCGAUUUCUCAACUAUGACUUCUCUUGAUUCUUGUACAUGUACCUCUCCGAAUUUUCCAUUGAGUCUUGUGCUUUUUUACCUUAAAUUUUUUGUUCAACUACUCAUUUUUUAUCCAUAAUGAUUGGACUAUCGACACCAUAUACUUCAUCAUCGAGUCAUAUAUAGUCAUGAAUCUUUUCUGUUCCGCACUACAAAUCACACGAAGUAAUCAUGAAUGUUUGAAAAAUCAAAAUUCUUAUAUAUCGCGCUCAACCAGUAAAAGACAACUUAAAAUCAUACUUGCUUUGACUUUUUAUAAUAUACCUUGGCAUUUUUCUCGAUGUGAUGACGUACUCGCCCAAAACUAAAGAUAGACUUUUUAAUAAAGAUUCAUGAACUUAGAGUGUUUUUCAUUUUGUUUUUUAAGAUAUACACUUCAUUUAAAUUAGUUAUUUUGUUUAUUUUUCAAACUCAGAAUUAUGCUUCUCAUUCCAACUUAACUGAAGAUAUAUUUUUUACUUUCGAUGUUACAUGUCUUCAGAGGUUCUAUUUUGAAGAUUUUAGUGCUUUUGACCUCCCUUGCCUUUUCACAAUGAACUUCAUCUUUAUUUAUUUAUAUUCUAUAGUGUUCUAAUUUUUCCAAAUCUCCAUAUUUCAUGUCUCCAAACUAUUGUUUUUUAUUAAAUGUCCUUUGAACUAUGUUUUUCAUAAAUGCGUGAAAUUUGUAAUGUCAUUUUGUGACUAGUUGGGUUUGGUAGUAACUCUCGCAAAAUCAACAUCCAUCGGCCAAAGAACUUUAACUAAACUAUUCAAAAGGAAACUCUAACUAGUACACUGUUCUCGUAAAAUCAACACACAUCAGUCAAAACACUUUGAUACAAGUAGCACUAGAAGUACCACAUACGUUCCUUUCAAACAAAUACAAUAUUCUUUUUAUACACAAAGCUGUACUUGCUUUUACACCACACGUUUCGGUCCUUAUCUCUCCAUCUUACCUCCUGGAACAGACCACAACCACACGUUUAUUUUUUGUUCUCUCUCUGCUCAGUGUAACUUGUCUUUGCUCAUGGAUACGAAACUAGUUAACUGAAUGUAGCAACCCGAGCUAGAGAAGAUCAUGUUAACAGCUGGUUUAGGCGGCCGACGAACAUGGUCAGACCAACUCUUCGACCUUGUAAACCCUGUACUUCACGGGGUGGUGGCCAGCAUCCCCGCUGGAGAAAGAUGAAUAUGUCGAUCUGCUACUUCUUCAGAGUUUGACCUGCAUAGUUCUUCAGAGUCUGACCUGCUACAUCAUCACACAGGAUGGAGCGGACAUGCUCGUCUUGGUGGGUAACCUCCACGCUGAGGAGGUAGGUGUCCUCGAAUGCAUCUGCUGCGGUAGGAUGGUCUCGGUGUAGAUGAACCGACGACAACCGCGAUGGAGAAAAGAACGACGAGGAGAGAUGGCUAUCCGCAUGGACUGCUCACGAGCGAGAUGGCGGACUGCCCACACAAAAUGGAGGGGCUGACGGCUUGUGGAUGGUGCAGGUCGCAGCGGCGGGGCAGAUAGCACACCGGCCGCAACUGCUUGGGGAAGCUGCAGCCAAGUUGUGGGGGAGGAAAGGGAAGCGGUGCAUGGAGCUAUGCAUAGCGCAUCACGGGGAUGUGGUGGCGACAUAGGGCGGCGCACUGGGUGGUGGCGGGUUUCAGGAGGCCGGCGGCGCACGAGGUGGCGGCGAGUUUCGGGAGGCCGACAACGCGCGGUGUGGCAGCGGGGUCCUGAAGCUCAUCGGCGCACAGGGUGGCGGCGGGAUCCCGAACGAGGUGCCCGAGCGGCGGUUGGGGAUGGAGGCAACCGCUGCGGCGGUUGCGAGAGGAGGCGGCCGGGAGGCGCGAUGUGCCGGGGGCGGUGGUUCGCCAGCAGUCCGCGUGUGGGGGCGCGCGGGGUGGAUCUGCAUUCGUGGGAGAUGUGGGGAACGGGAGGUGGAAGACAAUUGUGUGGGCCGGUUCUUUUGUUUGUCGGGAGUUCAGAAACACCCAGUCAGGCCUAUAUAGGGCCAGCCAUGAUCCAAAUAGUUAUUUUGAUCCUGGGAUUAGAAUAGUGUCACUAUAUAUAUAUACAAAAUGAUAGGAUCAUCAUGGAUGUGCCAGGGGCCACGGCCGAAGUGGCGACACUGAAGCAAGCACUGUCCGAGGCCGAAAACAAAGCGGCCAAGGAGCGCACCGAGCGGGAAAAACAAGAGGCGCGGGUGGGCGAGGUGCAGCAAGAGCUCCAGGCUCUCGUGAAGAAGCACGAGGCUUUGGAGCUUGACUCGAAGAUGUGAGAGUCCGAGCUUUCCGCGGCCCUCGAGAGCACAAAGCAUGCAAGGCUGAAGCCCAAAAGGCCCUCCAGGAGAUUGAGGCAAUGAGGAAGAUAGCGGCGGGUAAGGCAUUCAAUAUGCAAAGCAAACAUGUGAAAGUAAAUUACUUAUUACUUACCUGAGUCCAGAGCUCUCCAGGAGCAUUCGCAGAUUUGCCCCGCAGCGUGUCGGAUGCCGCGAAAUAUUACCAGGCCGAGGAGGGAAGCUCGACGGAGAAAUUGUUCUGGUCUCAGUAUACUGGGACCGAACACCCAAUGCCUAUGAGAGACCAGCUGAAGCAACUGGUCGAGCUGCACAAGGCAGUCGAACAGGCCAUGAGGGGCCUUAUAGUCCGGAUGUGGCCUGGCGACUCCCUUCCCAACAGCUACUUCGGCCUGGUGAGGCGGCUUGUGGAUGCCUGCCCAUGGCUGGAAGUCAUAAAGCGGUCCGUCUAUAUCGAAGGUGCACACCGGGCUUUUGCCCGUGCGAAGGUGCACUAGGCCAAGAUGGACGCCAAGAAGCUGGUGAAGGAGGGGCUGCCGCAGGGCAAGGAGCAUUGCCACCCCGAAAUGUAUUAUGAGGGUGUCCUGGAAGGUGCCCGUCUUGUGGCGGACGAGUGUGGGAAGGUUGUAAUUUUUGAAUAAACUUGCUCGUGUGAUCCUGUACUAUGAAAACUUGUUCAUAUGCACUAUGCAAUGCUUGUUUAAAUUUAAAAUAUUACCUUCUGUGCGGCUGUUUAUCAAAUUUGAGAGAUGGCCAGUCGUCGGCUUCUGCCCCUAUGCCAUGAGUGCUGGGGUGUUCGGGAUAAACCUGAGCACUCUUUGUCCCAUUGUUGGGUCCUUCGAGGGAGGUGCUCAGCACAAUGAACAAGGCAAUCAGACUAUAAAGCUUUAUCACUCUCACUUAGCCAUAGAAGUCUACAAUUUUAAAUUUUGGUGAAGCCCCUAGUAUUCGGAAGGCCGAAUUCGGGGCGCUAUACACGCCUUAAGCCGGACAAAGCCGACUCCUCGCUCUAAGCGGCAUAAGUCUUUAGGGACUCGAGACCUCUCGAACAGCAACCAGCUCUCGCCUUAUCAUGGCAGUCAGUUUUAGUUUUCUCUACUGAGGUGCUUGCCCAGAUGAACCGGGGCACAAUCGCAGUAGUUCUCCCAGUGCUACCUUAGCCGAUAUAGCAGAAUGUAAGGUACCAAAACAUGGAAGCCGGGCAAACCCAACUAUUGACCCAAGACAUGAUUCGGAGCUGAUGCAUAUAAUGCUAUAAGUUCGGGGUGCCGCACUGUCAAAAGUUUUUGGACUUCUCACGCCGUAUUAUGGGGUACGCUUAAGCCCUUGGCGUAUUGGCCGUAUCAGAGUGUACGGGUGUUGAAUGUCAUGAAUAUAUAUAUAUAUAUAUAUAUAUAUAUAUAUAUAUAUAUAUAAGAAUAGAGAAUGCGAUAAUAGUCUAGUGCUAUGCAUUGUUUAUUCAAAAAGGUGCAUCGAAGCAGAAUGAUACAAGUAGUGCGAUAAGAAAAAAGUAGGACUAUUUGACAUGUCCCCUCCAAGGGCAAGCUGAGGAAUGGUAUUUAAAGCAGGUAUUUCACUCGUUAUCAGAGACCACCUGGGAAUUCCAUGAUGCGACGUAGCUUUCUGCCUCCUUGGUUGUUGUAUCAUGUGUCCGUCAAUCAUACUACCGGACGGGGUUUCCAGAGAGUAAAGUCCUGAAAGAGAGAAAAAAAUAAUAAGGCGGAAAGCCCCUAGUGCGGUUGAGCCACGUUUUGGGACGUGUCGUAGUCGUGCCCCCCCAUCUAUGCCCAUGGUAUUUUCAAUGCGUAAUUAUGUAUGCGUGGCUCGGAUUUCGCCGUUUGGCUAGGACUGGGGUGGGGGUCGCAUUGCUAUGCGAGCUCGGAAUGUGCCAGGCAGUCUUGUUGCCGAUUACUCCGGGCGCGCUUCAAGGUGUCCAGGUCUUUAAUCGCCGAACUGGUGGAUUGCCUUAAGAGGCUGCUUUGGGCUUCUACUUCGAGGGCCGCAGUGUGCUCCUCCAUGCGGACAGAGCGCUCUGUGUUUCUAUUGACUAUGAUGACCCCCCGAGGUCCUGGCAUCUUGAGCUUGAGAUAUGCAUAGUGCGGUACCACGUUGAAUCUCGCAAAUGCGGUUCGCCCAAGCAGUGCAUGAUAGCCACUGCGGAACGGGACUAUAUCGAAGAUUAACUCCUCGCUUCGGAAGUUAUCCGGGGAUCCGAAGACCACUUCUAGUAUGACUGAGCCUGUGCAAUGGGUCUCCACACCUGGUAUGACGCCUUUGAAGGUCGUUUUUGUGGGUUUGAUCCUUGAGGGGUCUAUACCCAUUUUGCGCACUGUGUCCUGAUAAAGCAGGUUCAGGCUGCUGCCAUCGUCCAUAAGGACUCGAGUGAGGUGAAAUCCGUCGAUGAUUGGGUCUAGGACCAGUGCGGCGAAUCCGCCAUGAUGGAUACUAGUGGGAUGGGCCUUGCGAUCGAAGGUGAUCGGACAGGAGGACCAUGGGUUGAACUUUGGGGCGACUGGAUCCAACGCAUAUACAUCUCUUAACGCACGCUUCCGCUCCCUCUUAGGGAUGUGGGUUGCGUAUAUCAUGUUCACCGUCUGCACUUGUGGGGGGAACCUCUUCUGUCCUCUGGUGUUCGGCUGCCGGGGCUCUUCCUCGUCAUCGCUAUGUAGCUCCUUAUCUUUGUUUUCGGCAUUUAACUUGCCGGCCUGCUUGAACACCCAACAAUCCCUGUUAGUGUGGUUGGCUGGCUUGUCGGGGGUGCCGUGUAUUUGACACGAGCGAUCGAGUAUACGGUCCAAACUGGACGGGCCCGGAGUGCUUCUUUUGAAUGGCUUUUUCCGCUCACCGGGUUUAGAGCCUUUGAAUCCGGCAUUGACUGUCGUAUCCUCAGUAUUGUCGCCGUUGAUGUGGCACUUGUGUUUGUUGCGACGUGACCUGCUAUUGCUAUCCUUGGUAUCUGAAGUACCAUGGUUCUUUGAUAUGUUGUUGUUGUGAGCCAGCCAGCUGUCAUCUCCCGCGCAAAAGCGGGUCAUGAGUGUCGUGAGGGCUGCCAUAGAUUUCGGCUUUUCCUGGCCAAGGUGCCGGGCGAGCCACUCAUCGCGGAUGUUGUGCUUAAAAGCUACUAGGGCCUCUGCAUCCGGACAGUCGACGAUUUGAUUUUUCUUUGUCAGGAACCGUGUCCAGAAUUGCCUGGCCGAUUCCUCUGGCUACUGAAUUAUGUGGCUCAAGUCAUCGGCAUCUGGUGGUCGCACAUAAGUGCCCUGGAAGUUGUCGAGGAAUGCGGCUUCCAGAUCUUCCCAACAGCCAAUGGAUUCUACUGGCAGGCUGUUGAGCCAAUGCCGAGCUGGUCCUUUGAGUUUGAGUGGGAGGUAUUUGAUGGCGUGUAGAUCGUCACCGCGGGCCAUGUGGAUGUGCAGGAGGAAGUCCUCGAUCCAUACCGCAGUAUCUGUUGUGCCGUCGUAUGAUUCGAUAUUUACGGGUUUGAAACCCUCUGGGAUUUGGUGAUCCAUUACUUCGUCUGUGAAGCAUAGGGGGUGCGCAACGCCUCUGUACUGGGCUAUAUCGUGACGCAGCUCAAAUGAGUCUUGUCCACUGUGUGCGGCUCGGUCGGAUUUACUUUUACUGUAUCUGGCGUGACGAUUAUCGUCUCGCAUAGUGGCGCGCCCUCGUGAUCCGUAGAUCGAUCUUGCGUGUUUUGCUUUGUCAUCCAAUAUGUCUCGCAUGUCUGUUGUAUUUUCCCAUGCUUUGACAUUUUUAUUUGAGUGGCGUCGGGGUGCAGGCUAAGCUUUUGGCUGAAAUGCCUCUCUGUCGCGGCCACGAGGUGGCCGAUCAGCCGCGUCAUACGCUAGAGAUAUAGGUUUUGGUGCUUCCUCCUCCAGUCGGGGUAGCAACCUGCGCUUUGGGUAACUCUUGGAGGGACUUUCGAGUUUAUAUUCCUCGGCCGCAAGGACAUCAGUCCAUCUGUCAGCUAGCAAAUCUUGAUCAGCUUGAAGCUGUUGUUGCUUUUUUUAAGGCUAUUUGCCGUGGCUAUAAGCCGGCGCUUGAAGCGCUCUUGUUCGAUGGGAUCCUCGGGCACGACAAAUUCGUCAUCGUCAAGGCUUGCCUCAUCUUUGGAGGGAGGCAUGUAAUUAUCAUCCCCCGCCUCUCCAUCUGCUGCUCUCUCGGGAGGGCUGGCUUCUCCGUUCUCCUGCUCUAAAUCUUGCUGGAGGGGAUUGUUGUCAUCUUCGGCACUGUCCGGAGUGCUAUUAUCUCCUGUGCAGGUAUCAUCGCUUUUGCCUUGGCGAGACUUAGAGCGGCGCCGCUGACGUCGGCGCUUGGGUUGCUUCUUGGAGGGGUCAUCCUCCGCUGUCCCAUCGCCAUUGCCUUCUUUGGGUGUGUCCACCAUACAUAUCAUAUGAUGAGGUGGCUGUCCGGUGCCCUAUGGGCAGUGGUUCUUGUUCGCCUCCUGCAUCGUCGUCCAUACCGUUGAUGUCUUCGGAGUCGAAGUCGAGCAUGUCGGUCAAAUCGUCGACAGUGGCUACUAAGAGUAUCUCCAGUCGCGCGCCAACAGGCCCUCUCCAGGCAAUUUUGCCGCGCCGACGUCGAAAAAACGGCCCAGUCGCACCCCCAGAAGCCCUUUUUCGCCGUCUCGGGGCAAAACUGGUGCCGGCGGACCCAGGCUGAACCCUGCUUCCUUGGGGGCCUGGGGCGUCAGCACAAGAGAAAAGGGCACGUGGGUCCGCCCUGUCGGUGAGGCGAGCGCCUCUUCCCGUUGUUUCUUCUCGCGUUUUCCCCACUUCCCUCCCGUACUCUUCCUUCCUCCCGCCAAUCUCCCUCCCGCUCGCCUCCCUCCCAGCCGGCCGCCAUGCCACCGAAGAAGUACGUCGCCCCCCGCGCGGCGGCAACCGCGACCGCCUCCAUCGCCCAGCCGAAGCAGAGAAAGCCAAGGGUGCCGCCGAUCAAGACAUCGGGCAUGUCAAACGCCGAGUGGAGGGCAGAAGUUCAGCGGCGGGAGGCUGUCACUGCCGACUGCUGGAACAGGGCCAUCGCCAAGAAGGCCUGCGACAACGCGGCGCGCGCGGCUGCGGCUGCCUCGGCGGACGAAAUUGAGGCCGAGGCGACUCGCGCGGGAUGAUGAAUCCACCUAGAAUCCACGCCCAGUACGCGCCCUGGGGCCAGCAAGGCGUCGGCUCUCCGCAACCAUGGCGAUCACCCUUGCCGGGCUACGCUGACGGGGACACGCACGGUGAGUUCAACCCAAAUGUCACCUUCCCCCAUGGAUACCCGGCCCAACGCACGCCCUCUCCCGCCUUCGCCGGCAUGUAGUACCCUCCAUACAACUACUCGCUGCCCGCCUACGCUUCCUCCCCGACGCCCCUGCUACACUGUGGCCUGCUGCCCUUCUCGCACCUCGGCGACACCAACGAGACCGAGGCCGACAUGGACGACAUCAUCGCGAUAGGUUCGGCCGCGGCCGCCGCAUCUCCCGGGUUCGUCACCCAGGACGAGGUGGUGGAUCUCAGCGGCAGAAUGGACGGCGAGCUCGGCUACGUCUACGGCAAGGACGAGUAGGAGGAGCAGAAGGAGGAGGACGUCGAGGAGGAGGAGGAGGAGCCGACGCCUACGACAGCGAAGGGGCGCAAGAAGAAGCAGACGGCCAGGACAGGCGAGCCGCGCAUCAAGUGGGCGUCCAAGGAGGAAUGCCUCGCCGAAGCAUGGAAAGUCGUCUGCCUCGACCUGACGAUUGGCACGAACCAGGCAUCGACACGUACUGAGACCGCAUCAAGGCCGAAUUCGACGAGCGCAAGCUCGUCGACCCCUACUUCAAAGGCGUCUACAUGCAGCGCAGCUCCGAGGCGAUGGCAAACCAUUAGGGGUGUAUCCAGGGGCGUGCAACGAAUGGCAUGGGGUCGUCGAGGAGGUCGCGGCUCGCCCGGAGAGCGGCGCCAGCGUCGAGGAUCAGGUAUGCCACGCCGGCCUCUCGCCUCUCUUCGCCGUGUAUGCGCGCCAACUGUUUGUCCCUCCGCGCAGUUGCUGCGCAUGUUCACCCUGUACCGGCAGAGCAACAGCGACGCCAAAUUCAAGUACCUCCACGUCUACAAGCGCAUAGACAAGUGCGAGAAGUGGGCGGACGUACGGCGCACCCUCGACAAGGCCAAGGAGACCUACAAGCCGGACGCGCCGACUCCUGGCGCAUCGGAAGGGCGGCCGGACGGCAACAAUGUUGCCAAGAAGGGGAAAUAAGCCGACACGGCCACCGCUCGAUUGCAGGAGUCCAUCGAGCACUACCUCGCCGACGCGCAGGCCCGGGCCGUCCUUCGUGAAGAGAAGACCGAGGCGCGGUGGUCGACGUUGAUGUCGAGCAGCGCCGUCAAGCUCGACCUGCUCCGGACGAACGUCGCCGCGAAGAAGAGAAACACUGACCUGGCUUUCCUGCUGGGCGGGGCGGACAUGCUCCAGAGCACCGACGAGGCGGUCAAGGUGUGGUACUUGGCGAAGCGCGGCCUCAUCCUGAACCAGCUUCCCUCGACAAGGCCGCCGACGCCGACGCACACGCCGCCGCUGCUGCCAAGCCCACGUGACGACGCCUCCAUGAUGCCCAGCACCACCGAAGCCGCGCCGACACCGCCCAGCGCAGAGGCUGCUCCGACACCGCUAAGCCCGCACAUGCCAACUCCGCCGACGCCUGGGGCAUAGCCCGCAGAGGGAUGCGCACGCGAACUUCUGCCGCUCUAUUUUUUGUACGCCGAACUGUGGCUUGCGAUCGCCCGACUUGUGGCGUCUUUUGUGAGAGGGAACAACCAAGUUUGAAAUUUUCACGUCCUGGGGGCGCGACUGGGAGUUAGGUCGCCCCCAGGGGCCGAACUAGCAUCGGUUCGCCCCCAGACCGCCCUUUUUAGCGCCCUGGGGGGCCGAACAGCUGGAGAUGCUCUAAGUGGGUGGUGGGUGGGCGGCGAAUUUCUUCAUCAUCCGCAUCCCAAUCCUGCCGGACAUAGUUCGGCCAGGACUCUCCUGACAAGGAGAGAGACCUUAAUGAGUUCAGUAUGUCGCCGAAGGGAGAGUGCUGUAAAAUAUCCGCGGAGGUAAACUCCAUGAUUGGCGCCCGGUCGGAUUCGGUAGGCACGGGCGCAGGUGGUUCGGAGUCCGUGGCCGGGGAAGAAUUCGGCAGUUUGGCGUCACGGCUCUCGUGAAGGGUAAGGUCGAUACUCGGCUUGAUCGUCGCUGAGGAUACGGCCUCCGUGGCGGGGUCUAUCCACCCGUCCAUGGAUGGCGCAAUUGGCUCCGAAUUGAGGGUCCGAGCAGUUGCCGGUGCGGUCUCCUGAACACUGUCCGAUGGUAGAGCUAAAUCAUGCUCAUCGUGACCGUGUGGCGCACUCAGCAGGGGCUCGAAUCCGUCGAAGAUCAAGUCUCCGCGGAUAUCGGCCGUGUAGUUUAAGCUUCCAAACCUGACCUGGUGGCCAGGGGCGUAACUCUCGAUCUGCUCCAGAUGCCCAAGCGAGUUGGCCCGCAGUGCGAAGCCGCCGAAUACAAAGAUCUGUCCGGGGAGAAAAGUCUCACCCUGGACUGCAUCGCUAUCGACGAUUGAAGGAGCCAUCAAGCCUAAUGAUGACGACACAGAGGAACUCUCAAUGAAAGCACCAAUGUCUGUGUCAAAACCGGUGGAUCUCGGGUAGGGGGUCCCGAACUGUGCGUCUAAGGCGGAUGGUAACAGGAGGCAGGGGACACGAUGUUUUACCCAGGUUUGGGCCCUCUUGAUGGAGGUAAAACCCUAUGUCCUACUUGAUUAUUCUUGAUAAUAUGAGUAGUACCAGAGUAGAUCUACCACGAGAUCAGAGAGGCUAAACCCUAGAACCUAGCCUAUGGUAUGAUUGUAUGUUGUCCUACGGACUAAAACCCUCCGGUUUAUAUAGAAACCGGAGGGGGCUAGGGUUACACAGAGUCAGUUACAAGGAAGGAGAUCUGAAUAUCCGUAUUGCCAAGCUUGCCUUCCACGCCAAGGAGAGUCCCAUCCGGACACGGGACGAAGUCUUCAAUCUUGUAUCUUCAUAGUCCAACAGUCCGGCCAAAGGAUAUAAUCCGGCUGUCCCGAUACCCCCCUAAUCCAGGGCUCCCUCACCACCAUUCUGGAUGAAGGUGUGUUCUUCUUGCCGGCCAUUCUCGCAAAAAUCCUUUGCCACUGGUUUGGGGACAACCCGGCCGGUUUCCGGGUACGGCCGUUGGCCAUUGUCCAUUUCGAAUUUGAAGUGGCCCAUGUAGGCGUCGCAUGGGAGAUCAUACAUAAAAAUGUCUAGACUUGGGGGCCGAUGCACGUGGCUGUCUCCUUGAGUAAUGGUAAACGUGCCAGGCUGGAUGUGAGGCGCAGACCUAGGAUGUGCACUAUGCACCCCCCCUUUCCCCUUCGCUACUUGGACCUUACCCUGGCACGGUGCAACGCUCCUCCAAUCACUCGUCAGUGUGAAAAAAUCCUCUUAGCCCGGUUUUCCCACAGCCUGUGGAAGAAGAGUCUCCGCGGCUGCAUGCACCAUGCAAUAGUAAUCAUGCUCAUGUCUUAAAUCCGAUUCACUCGCAGGCUGCCAUGCAUGCCGACCAACCCGAUGGCCCGACCUGCAGGCACGCUGAUGAGAUCCUUUCGGCUAUCCGGGACGCCCCUGCUAGCUGUCGCGGAAACCAACAUAAUGACAUGUCUGUCCUGCGCCAUAAUUCCUACUUGCAUGCCCUACUGUCACGUCUGGCGCCUGGGAAUCAAGCAAGCUCAGCGCAGCGCGUCGCCUCCAAUGCAAUAAAGCAAUGUGCAAAGCCUAAGGAUUUGCAUCUUAGAUGCUAUAGGUGCCUAUCUUACAGCCACCGGCGUAAGGAUUGCAAAGACCCCAUUGUCUGUUGGUCCUGCCGACAGGUGGGCCACAUUCUAUCCCAAUGCAUCUCCCGGCGCGGCUCAUCGUCUUCGUGCACUACCCACAUGCCUCCUUAUAACACGACGGUGUCCCCCCCGCUCUCCCAAGCCUUCCAGUCCCCACUGCCUCCUCCUGAUCUCUAGCACUUCUACCUCCUAAGCCUGGGCCUCUCGCCUCCAUGGAGCCGGUGGUCCGAGGCCAUCCCACCUCUCUCGAUGUUCACUACCGACUGCUUCCAGACCAGAAUGACCAAGUUUGCCUCAUAAACAUCUCUCCGCCCAUGUCUGGUUUCCUUCCUUGGUUCAAGCGCCUCUUAUCGGAACGGCGUGGCAUCACUAUUGUCCAGUUUGCCAGAUGUGCUACUGGGAGGCAAAUCAAGUGGCCGCCAUGAGAGCCAGCCCAUUGGAAACUGACACCCGUCGAGAUGGUAAGCCCGACACAGAACGCCUCUGCUUGAUGACAAGAGCCUUAGCACUGCUUAUUUCUACAAGUUUCUCACCUUUCGAGGAAAAAACUAUACGCCAGCCUGCUUCAUUUGGGACAGAAUCAUACCCCACAAACACCGCAUCUUCCUGUGGAUUGCGCUCCGGGACAGACACGGCACCAGAGAUAAUAUGUUAAGCAAGCAUUGGGAUAAAAUUGUUUCACAUAAUGGUUGUGAUAUAUGCCCAGCUGCGGAGACAAUGAGCCACAUUUUACUAUGAUGCAAACUAGCACAAGCACUAUAGUCCAACUUAGGCCUGUAGGAGCUAGCCACAUCUUCUAUAGAACGUGAAGUUUUCCUAUUCUCGAAACAACCAAGGGCACUGCACGGCAAGCUAUGGCAUAUUCUCUUCGCGGCAUGUGCGGUCACACUUUGGAAUGCCAGGAACGCACAAGUGUUUGAUGGAUCUUUUUGGCAAGAGCGCCAGGUAUACAAUGGAGUCACUGAGCUGAUCAGACUAUGGAGCCUGCGUGCCCCACAACAUAGUAGGCGGAGCCUUUGGAAUUGGGCAACUGCUUUUGCUCCUAGUUAGCAAGAUGUGUUCUCUCCCGUUCUGCUAUCCUGCACUAUGUAUCUUAGCAUAGGCCUGGUGAUGGCAUGAUGUACAAAUUGUGUGGCGUCAACAUCACCUUCAUGUAAAUGACUGUGGUCAUCCGGGUUUUCGCCCAUUUUGAAUGCAUAAGGUAGAAAAUGCUCUACCUUUUUAUUCAAAAAAAAUAUCGGCAUCCCUGUGAGUCAAAAUCAUUGGCACUAUAUGUUAGUCUCCCUGUUAUCGGUUUUCUUGUCUUUUCUCGUUCUCGUGUUCCCGCAUCCCCGUGAUCAAUUCAUGCUGUGUCUGGCCAGAUGUUGAUGGAUUCUGUCACACUGAGAGGGCCUGAAGAAUAUCUUUUCAUCGCAUGAGGAGAAAAUCCUAGUCUCGAGCUAUCUAGUCCCUUGCCAUACGUUUCCUAUGAACAUGUAAAUUGUUGUUAUGAUCACCCUGUUAUGGUUGACGUUGGACCAUCCCCAAAGUGCAUCAUCCAGUAUGAAGUGACUCAAUGUUCUCAUGGUCUAAAAAAUUGUGCAUAUGUUAACUUUCUAUGUUAUGGACUAUAAACCUGUGACGAAAUUAGCUGGAAGUAUAACAUACAAUUGGGUCAAUUCAACACAAGUGUUCCUCCAACAUUGUGCCCUCGAUAUUGUUGACAUCAUCGUUACACUUAACUAUAACCAUGAUCAGGAAAACAAAAUCAUCAUGCAAUACUUGAGCUAGUCCUAACGGCAAGACUAGGAACCUUAUUUUUACCGUUUAUAAUCCUACACGUGCAUGUGAUUUUUUUCUCUGACCUCUUAGUUUUCACAAAUUCGAGAACCAUAGCAAUUUUAUCAUAGAAUAUAAACAUCAAUUAUAAAUUUAGAAAUAAAUAAUAACAUAAUUAUUAUUGCCUCUAGGGCAUAUUUCCAACAAUUGCUUCCAAGAAAUUCAACAACCGCCUUGAUCCCCACAUCCCCGAUAGAAACCAUUUGACGGGUGGUAAGACCAUCGGCGAUGGUGGUUUCUCCGUGAAUAAUCAAUCUGAAUAAGGGAUGUUCCUUCAGAGAUUCAGUGGGAUAAUUCGAGUGCACAAAGCAUGUACACAUUAAGCACACACACAAAAUUUGGAGUCAUAAUUUAGGUACCUCCCUAUAUGGGCGGGCAUGUAACUUUAGUGCAACUACGCCCGUUAGGAUUCAACAAGUUCAAUCUGCUGGAUAUAUAGGAAGAUAGGGGAGGGGUGUUUUGGCUCCCUGGAGCAUAUGCUCCCAGAUGAACAGUAAAUUGAAAAAAAAACUAUUUUUUGUAGAUGUGUUUGUUAGUCCCUUCUAGUACUCCAAGGUGUGCUGGUGCUAAGGCUACCACAUAGGCAAAAAAAUGAUGUGACAAAGCACUUGUCGGUGUCAAAACCGGCGGAUCUCGGGUAGUGGGUCCCGAUCUGUGCGUCUAGGCCGGAUGGUAACAGGAGGCAGGGAACACGAUGUUUUACCCAGGUUCGGGCCCUCUUGAUGGAGGUAAAACCCUACGUCCUGCUUGAUUAAUAUUGAUGAUAUGGGUAGUACAAGAGUAGAUCUACCACGAGAUCAAGGAGGCUAAACCCUAGAAGCUAGCCUAUGGUAUGAUUGUUGUAUAUGGAGUUGAUUGCCUACGGACUACAACCCCCCGGUUUAUAUAGACACCGGAUAGGGUUAGGGUUACAUAGAGUCGGUUACAAUGGUAGGAGAUCUUGAAUAUCCGCAUCGCCAAGCUUGCCUUCCACGCCAAGGAAAGUCCCAUCCGGACACGGGACGAAGUCUUCAAUCUUGUAUCUUCAUAGUCCUGGAGUCCGGCUGAAGGUAUAGUCCGGCUACCCGAACACCCCCUAAUCCAGGACUCCCUCAGUAGCCCCCAAACCAGGCUUCAAUGACGAUGAGUCCGGCGCGCAGAAUGUUCGGCAUUGCAAGGCGGGUUCUUCUCCAAAUCUUGUGUACCUGUAGGAAUAAUGUCUGAUUUUUGUAAUGUAGUGCUCCUCGGCUUCCACGCCCAAUAAUGGCCGUCUUCCAUGUGUCAAACGAAUGCGAAAAGCCGGGGCGUUUUUACAUCCAUACCCCUAGCCGUAUGAAUGAGCCGCCUAUGUAACGGGAUGGGGAUUUAGGUCCAAACCACAUCUUCUCCUUUACGUGAGUUAUCAUCGGAGCGCUUCCAGCAAAGGUCCAUUCCAACAUGACCAGCCGUCGCAGCUCCUCCCCUCGCCCCUCCGGUGCCAAACCCGGGGACUGGGAGAGUUUCACCAUCCCGCAUAGCGAGUUAGUGUCGCUUCUGGCCAAGGGAUUUCUCCCUCAGUCAUACAUGGUCCCGGUCCGAGCCGGUCUCGCCACCUACAAUGGCAGAAAACAAGCGGAGAGCACCCCCAAUCCUUCUAAAGGAGAGCGGUUGUGCCUCGUCCCCUAUCUAAUAAGGGGACUGGGAUUUCCAAUUCAUCCAUUUCUCCGCGGGCUUCUGGAGUUCUACGGCCUCCAGCUGCACAAUCUCAUGCCCGCCUCCGUAUUGCAUAUUGCGGGUUUCGUCGCCCUUUGCGAGCUAUUUUUAGGCGUUGAGGCUCAUUUCGCAUUGUGGAAGAGGUUAUUCUGCCUGGUGCCCCAUUCUCAAGAGGGGUCCAUAUACCAGGUGGGCGGAGCCGAAGUAUGGCGCAUCGCCGGGACCGGAUACCUAUCCGGAACCCCAAAGAAGGCGUCCGAGGACUGGCCUUCAGAAUGGUUUUACAUAGAUGACGUCCCGCUACCGGACCCUAUCCGGGUCGGUCUCCCUGAGUUCAACAGUGCUCCAUUGAAGAAACGUUUGAGCUGGCAUCCGUGGAGCUCUCAGAGAGAAAGGGACAGAGACGUCCUUUACCUGAUGGGCCGGAUAAGACUGUUGGCUCAUUCCGGACUAACCAUGAUCGGAGUCAUGGCCGCAUGCAUUAUGCGGGGGGUGCAGCCGCUUCAAUAUAGAGGCCACCCCAUGUGGGAUUUCAACGGGGAGGAUGACGCCACACGUUACGGUCGUAAGGGGCCGGCCUCAGCUGCCGCCUUAGUAAAGAUCUUAUCCUCUUUGUACAAGGGAGAAAAGGAGGAGUUCCUCCGCGUCAACCUGCGGGCCGGAUUCAGUAUGUAUGAUCCUCCAAGUUGGGUAAGUGAACAAUUGCGCUUGCCCGUUUGUUUUGUACUCCAUGGUUAGAUAGGUAGUCUAACGACUUCAAUGCAGGAACUACGACAGGAGGUAAAGGAUAUAAACAGCCGCCCUCCACAGCCCUAGGACCCAGAACGGUCCCUCAAUCCGGACUCCGAAGAGGAUCCGGACAUAUCGGUGUUGCUUAUCGACGGGGUGUUCUAUCAGCUAAGCAAGGACAAUACCUUGGUAGCCAUUACGGCGGACUACCCAGGGUUAAUCCCGGCCUCCCAGGUGACAGAAACCGGGGUCUUAUUCCCUUGAAAGAGAUUCCACCCGCACGUAGCUCGGUGUUUCUGACGACAGCCGUGUUUUGCAGGGGAGAUUUCUGAGGAAGGAGGCCGAACCUGUGGCGGCUAGCCAACGAGGGGCCGCAGGGCCCCGUGGGGAAAAAAGGAAUGUAGUCCGGACUGAGAUGCUGGCGCAAAGGUAUAGUGCACCCUUUAUUUCCCUGGAGUUAUUCUGUCAGGGCAUAUUAACGUUCGUGCUAUCUUCAGAACGAAGAGACCUCGCCGGACUACAUCCGGAGAGGUUGCGAAUCGCGCCUCCACCAGCCAGGCUCCAACGUCUGGCAAGGAAGCGGAGGCGAGCACAAGGCGCGCACCGGACGCUCCUCCGACAGAGGAUGCGGACAGGAUGUCUGCCACAAAUUCUGAAGUGGAGAGUGCCAUGAACCACAGGCGUCGCCGGACAAUUCUACGCGACGCUUGUUUCUCCCAAGAGGCUUUAGAUGCCUUUAAUUCGGGAGAUACGUACCUCCGUGCCGCUCAAAAUGGUUUAGCCAGAGCCACGGAGCAGUAUGUAAAAGACAUACGGGUAAGAAAUUUUUCGUUAAAUAUAUAUACGCCAGUAGCCCCCAAGACUUGAAGCAGUUAGAGCAACUGAUUUAAGGAUCAUUUAAUAUGCAGCUUCUUACAGAGAAGAAUACCGUACUGUCCCAGGAGCUGGAAAAAUGCAAGGCCCAACUAGAGGCCGCACUAGCCGCAUCAGGGGAGCCCAAAGAGACCCCCUCAGGUAAGAUACACUUCGAAAGAUUAGUAUUGUGUGGUGUGGGUGCAAAUCUGACAAAUCAUAUUGCAGAUGGCGCCGGACUCUAUCCGGAUAAGCAACAACUCUUACGCUGGCUAAAGGCCGGUGAGAGUACGUUGACAAAGGUGAGGCUAGAGAAGAAUGAGCUUCAGGAUGCCAACACCAAGCUGGACGUCGAACUUAAAGAUGUUCGUGGCCAGCUGUCGGACUCCACGAAGGAGAAUCAGCGGCUUCGACGCGACAUUUCUAGUAAGUGCUUGAACGAACUUUGAAAAAAGAGUUCGGCGAGGAAGUCGACUAACAGAGUAAUGUCUGUAGGUAUGCUCACAGGUCGUCCUGCAGAGGAGAUGCCCGGUUCUAGGGGUGACCUUCUUCCCGAACUCUUGCAACUGCACGAGCGAAUUCGGCAGGCGAUGCGGGGUAUUGCCCAAGCCUUAUGGCCUGCCCACUCCGUACCCGAGGGCCUUGGAGAGCUUGCGGAGAAGCUGAAGGGAGCUCGGUGGCGCUUCCGGUUGUGGAAGAUAUCGGCCUGCCGACAAGGCGCUAGGGAGGCCUUGGCCAUGGUGAAGACCCGUUUUACGAAGUCUGACACAAACCACAUGGCCGAGGUCGGACCAGUGGGGCCUGACGGGAAGGAGAUCCCUGUAAGCUUAGUAUACAGCCAAGUAGAGUUGGCCGUGAAGUAUUCUCAGCAGGACUAUAAAUUAGACAGCCUGUUAGAUGGUAUAGAAGAGGAAUACAAUCAGUCAGAAUGACUGUGUAAUUUUGAAUUUUACAUGUGUAAUGCCUUCUAGCCGGAUUGUAGAUCGUUUGUCGUUGCCGACCUUUUCGCUUCAACCUCGGGACCUGACGGUCCGGAGUGUGUCCGAAUACCCUAGCGGUUAUAUAAGAACCGGGGUAUGCAUGGAGACCAGGCGUAGGGGUCAUCAGUGCUUUAUCAGACAAGUGCCCAACUAGUUAUGUUAUAUUACAUGGUUAGUAAGAAACAUCUUCCAGAGAGAAUAGUUCCGUUAAGGGUUCCUUUCGCUGGGAGGCAUGCCCUAAGGUGCAUGUCCGGACAGCGUGAAGAGACGCAAAAAAAGCAUCUGGGGGCGCAUAAAAUGAGUAAAAAGAUCAUCUUUUAUUUCGCCGACCGAAUAUUCCCUUAAGAACGCUAGCUUUCGGCUUCACCCAGUCUGAGGUACACAUCUGGCUGACCCGGCAGUAACAAUCGCAGAGGUGCUCCCUUUACCGCCUAGCCAAACAAUCGGGAACGUAGGGGUAAGCACAGGAGCCAGGCAACCCAGCUUGGCCAAAACUUAAGUCAUAUCGAUGCAUAUAAUGGUGAAGAAAAAGGUACAUGCAGAAGUUUGACGCAUGUGUUGGGCGUGAAGCCCGUAUAAAUAAGCUUCUGUCAAAGAAGCCCCCGGGUUUAAUAAGCGCGAGUGGCGCGUCACUAGAUGAGCCUUUAAGGGCUAUGAAAGAGAAAGAAAAAAAUGGGAAGGAGAGAAAUGUAAGACUGAAAAAUACAAAAAGGGAUGGACAGAGGAAGGAGACGAACACAGAGUCCGGUGCUAGGCAUAGAAUCUUCGGAGACAGGUGGCAUUCCACGGGUUCGGCUCGAGUCGGUUGUUCGACGUAUCUCGCAGGCGGUACGCCACACCAGUCAGGACUUGGUCGAUUAUGAAUGGAACUUCCCACUUGGGCUUGAGUUUGUUCUUUUUCUUAUCCGGCAGGCGUAGAACUAGUUCGCCAACAUUGUAAUUUUUGGGCCGUACUUCUCUGCUUUGAUAUCUUCGGGCCUGCUGUUGAUAAAAUGCGGAACGGGCUUUUGCCACAUCGCGCUCCUCCUCCAAGGCGUCCAAGUUGUCCUGCCGAUCGAGCUCGGCUUCUCUUUCUUCGUACAUGUGCACUCUAGGUGAGUCAUGAAUUAUGUCGCAGGGCAGAACUGCUUCUGCGCCGUACACCAUAAAAAAUGGUGUGUACCCGGUGGUGUGAUUUUGCGUGGUCCGCAGCCCCCAUAGCACGGAGUCGAGCUCCUCUAUCCAGUGCGUGUUAGAUUCCUUGAGGGACCGCACCAGUCUGGGUUUAAUGCCGCUCAUGAUAAGACCAUUUGCACGUUCGACCUGGCCGUUGGUUUGUGGGUGAUAGACAGAAGCAUAAUUGAGCUUGAUGCCCAUGUUUUUGCACCAGAGUUUUACCUCGUCGGCGGUAAAGUUUGUACCGUUGUCGGUUAUGAUGCUAUGGGGGACGCCAUAACGGUUUACACCCCGGAUAUGAAGUCUAUCACAGGUCCGGAUUCGGCCGUUUUAACAGGCUUGGCUUCUAUCCAUUUGGUGAACUUAUCCACCAUGACCAGUAAGUAUUUUUUCUAUGGGUUCCACCUUUAAGGGGUCCGACCAUGUCAAGCCCCCAGACCGCAAAAGGCCAGGUGGUGGGUAUAGUUUGGAGUGCGGUGGGUGGCAUAUGGCUUUGGUUGGCAAAAAGUUUGCAACCAGCGCAUCGUUGGACUAGGUCCUGAGCGUCUGCUCGGGCCGUCGGCCAGUAAAAGCCUGUACGGAAAGCCUUGCUAACAAGGGACCGAGCAGCGGCGUGGUGACCACCGAGUCCGACAUGAAUUUCAGCCAGGAGGUUCCACCCUUCCUCUUCGGAGAUGCACCUUUGAAGGACUCUGGUAGUGCUUUUCUUAUAAAGUUCUCCCUCAUGGACUUUGUAGGCCUUAGAUCGCCGCACUAUGCAGCGGGCCUCGUUUUGGUCCUUCGGGAGUUCCUGCCUAGUAAGGUAGGCUAGGAAUGGUUCUGUCCACGGGGCGAUAACUGCCAUUAUUACGUGGGCUGAAGGUGUAAUUUUGUUGGCAGAGCCUCCAAUUGUGUCAGAUUGUUCGGCGUCGAGUGGUGCGGCUGGGUUCGGGCUGUUAUUUCCAGGUUCCCCCUCCCAUGCUAUGGAUGGCUUGAACAAUCUUUCCAAAAAGACGUUGGGGGGGGACUGCAUCGCGUUUUGCUCCGAUGCGUGCUAGGAUGUCCGCCGCUUGAUUGUUUUCUCGGGCUAUAUGGUGAAACUCCAGCCCUUCGAACCGAGCUGGCAUUUUUAGGACGGCGUCGCAGUAAGCUGCCAUUUUUGGGUCCUUGGCGUCGAAGUCUCCAUUUAUUUGGGAUAUCGCGAGGUUUGAAUCCCCGCGUACCUCUAGGCGCUAGAUACCCAUGGAUACUGCUAUCCGGAGGCCAUGUAGGAGGGCCUCAUAUUCGGCUGCAUUGUUGGAAUCCGUGUACAUGAUCUGGAGCACAUAUUGGACUGUGUCUCCUGUGGGGGACGUCAAGACGACACCGGCCCCCAGUCCGGCCAACAUUUUGGAGCCGUCGAAAUGCAUAAUCCAGUUUGAAUAUGUGCCGUACUCUUUAGGGAGCUCGGCCUCCGUCCAUUUUGCCACGAAGUCGGCCAAAACUUGCGAUUUAAUAGCUCACCGUGGCUUAUAGGUUAUAUUGAACGGGAGAACCUCGAUGGCCCAUUUUGCAAUCCGGCCCGUUGCAUUGCGGUUGUUGAUAAUAUCGUUUAGUGGCACUUCCGAGGCUACUGUUAUGGAACACUCUUGAAAGUAGUGUCGUAGCUUCCGGGAUGCCAUGAAUACCGCGUAUGUAAUCUUUUGAUAAUGCGGGUACCAUGAUUUGCAUGGAGUGAGGACAGUGGACACAUAGUAGACCGGCCUUUGAAGGGGGAAUUUGUGUCCGUCCGUUUCCCGCUCGGCAACGAGCACUGCGCUGACAACUUGGUGUGUUGCUGCAAUGUACAAUAACAUUUGUUCGCCGGCGAUCGGCGCGGCCAGGACUGGGUUUGUUGCCAAUAUGGCUUUUAUUUCAUCAAGUCCAGCCGUGGCAGCAUCCGUCCACUCGAAGUGUUCGGCGCGCCGAAGGAGGCGAUAAAGGGGUAGUGCCUUUUCUCCCAAGCGGGAGAUGAAGCGGCUUAAAGCCGCCACGCAUCCAGUUAAUUUUUGUAUUUGUUUAAGGUCCUUUGGGACAUCCAAUUGUGACAAAUCUUGGAUCUUGGCUGGGUUUGCUUUGAUUCCUCUACCGGAUACAAUGAAGCCCAAGAGAUUUCCGUCUGGAACGCCGAAGACGCAUUUUUCUGGGUUGAGCUUGAUGUCAUAUUUUCGGAGGUUAUCGAAUGUAAACCUCAAGUCAUUUACUAGGGAUUCGACAUGUCUUGAUUUGACGACCACAUCAUCCACAUACACCUCCACUGUUUUGCCGAUCUGGUUUGCCAGACAUGUCUGGAUCAUGCGCUGAUAUGUUGCGCCGGCGUUUUUCAGCCCGAAGGGCAUUGUGUUGAAGCAGAAUGGGCCGUAUGGUGUGAUGAAUGUUGUUGCAGCUUGGUCUGAUUCUGCCAUCUUGAUUUGAUGGUAACCGGAGUAUGCGUCGAGGAAACACAACAAAUCGUGUCCUGCGGUGGCAUUGAUAAUUUGAUCGAUACGGGGGAGGGGGAAGGGAUCCUUUGGGCAAGCCUUGUUAAGGUCUUUAAAAUCGACACACGGGCGCCAUGAUUUGUCCUUCUUUGGUACCAUCACCAAGUUUGCUAGCCAGUCCGGAUGUUUUAUGUCUCUGAUGAAUCCGGCCUCUAAUAGCUUGGCUAUCUCCUCUCCCAUAGCCUGUCUCUUGGGUUCGAAAAAAUGCCGAAGGGCUUGUUUGACAGGUUUAAAUCCUUUUAGGAUAUUUAAGAUGUGUUCGGCCAGCCUGCGUGGGAUCCCUGGCAUGUCUGAAGGGUGCCAGGCGAAGAUGUCCCAGUUCUCUUGUAGGAACUCUCGCAGUGCGGCGUCUGCAUCAGGGGUCAGUCGUGCCCCGAUGGAAGCUGUUUUAUUGGGGUCCAUUGGAUGGACCUGGAAUUUGACUAUUUCGUCAGCUGGCUUGAAGGACGUGGAUUUGGAUCUCUUAUCGAGUAUCACAUCAUCCCUGUUAACCGUGGAGCGCAGCGCAGUCAGUUCCUCGGCCGCUAAGGCUUCGGAUAGCGCCUCAAGGGCUAAUGCGGCCGUCUUGUUUUCGGCGCGGAGUGCUAUGUCCGGAUCAAUAGCUAGAGUGAUAAUUCCAUUCGGCCCGGGCAUCUUAAGCUUCAUGUACCCGUAAUGGGGUAUUGCUUGGAACAUUGUGAAUGCUUCCCGCCCUAGUAAAGUGUGAUAUCCGCCGUAAUGGGGUAUUGCUUGGAAUCUGGCCCAGUAAUGAUGUAUUGUUUCCUCGGGCAUCUGCCUGAUUUGGGAGAGAUCGCUUAUGAUCGGGUGGGCGGGUGUCAUUGAAUCUGAAACCUCACCCAAUCCAAGAUUCGGAGGCCGAAGAGUUUCCGAACUCUGAAGUUCGGAUUCUUGGAUGUUGUCCAGUGGAUCUGGCCCGUUGCCUGAUCCUAAGCUCAGGUCUUGAGUUACAUCUCCCCCUCCGCGGGUAUCCGGCUUGGAGGGGUCGGGAAUUCGGACGUAGCUAGUCCUUAAAAUAGAUGAAGGGUCGCCGCAUUGCGUCUCUACCACGGCAACGUGGUGGGUGACUUGGGGAGAGUUAAUUUCUCUUAGAUCGGGUUUAAGCCCAACCUGGUCGUAAUCCGUAGCGACCCCCAGGGCGGCGAUGCGAUCCAAGAGCUUGUUUAGGGAAGAGAGCUCCAUUGGAUCUAGCUGCUCGACGAGCUCCGAGCUGACGUGUAGGUUGCUUUUGAUGACCCGAGAGGUCACCGUCGGCGCAACAGCCGAACAUGCGGUCAUGAGGAAACCACCUAGCCGGAGGGUUUGGCCGACAGCCAAGGCUCCCUUAGCAACGGCGCCGUCUUUAAAGACGGGAGGAGGCAUCCUUCCUGAUUGUGACGGCACAGAGGAACUCUCAAUGAAAGCACCAAUGUCGGUGUCAAAACCGGCGGAUCUCGGGUUGUGGGUCCCGAACUGUGCGUCUAGGCCGGAUGGUAACAGGAGGCAGGGAACACGAUGUUUUACCCAGGUUCGGGCCCUCUUGAUGGAGGUAAAACCCUACGUCCUGCUUCAGUAAUAUUGAUGAUAUGGGUAGUACAAGAGUAGAUCUACCACGAGAUCAAGGAUGCUAAACCCUAGAAGCUAGCCUAUGGUAUGAUUGUUGUAUAUGGAGUUGAUUGCCUACGGACUACAACCCCCCGGUUUAUAUAGACACCGGAUAGGGUUAGGGUUACAUAGAGUCGGUUACAAUGGUAGGAGAUCUUGAAUAUCCGCAUCGCCAAGCUUGCCUUCCACGCCAAGGAAAGUCCCAUCCGGACACGGGACGAAGUCUUCAAUCUUGUAUCUUCAUAGUCCUGGAGUCCGGCUGAAGGUAUAGUCCGGCUACCCGAACACCCCCUAAUCCAGGACUCCCUCAGCACUUAAAGAGGAGAAAGAGCAUUAUGCUGACCCCGAAAGGAAACGAUGAUAAGCGUGUGAAACUGUGCAAAAUGGCUACCAACCCAUGCGUGAAGGAAUUUAGUUUUAAGCAAUUAAAUGAGAGGAGCUUAGAUACAAAAGUUCAGCACCUAUGUAUUGAGAAGAUUAGUUACUAUGGUUGUUAAUGCACUUAGCAUUUCACCUAAGCACCAAUGCAUUGGAAGAUGUGACAAAUUUCAUGUGAAACGCAGCAGCAAUGUUUCGUCGGUGAAAAAAACAAAUUUGGGGUCACAUUUUUGGAUGACAUUUGGUCUUCUUUUUUUUGCACAUGCCAAAAUGCUUAACCUUUUCGCCUCAAAAUCUGCAGGUAGCAUUUGUAUGUGACUAAGAUCACAUAAAAAUUUUGUCUUGAUUUUUUUCACAUUCGACAAAUUAUUUUUGGGCCCGGGAGAAUGUGCUCCCGUGAGCCAAAUUGAAUUUCCGGAAAGAUAGUCGAUUCCAAUGAAAUUUGGUGUAAAGAAAAUACACAGAACAUUGUGUCAAGGAUGGUCAAAAUAACAGCUGGUGUACUCAAAUAAUAACUCCUAAUAAAUAAAUAGUUUUAAAAACUCUGAAUAAAACACGCGAGAAUAGUUUACGUACAGACAUGUAGCCCACUGAAAGAGUGGCCUUUUCUUUUCCCGCCAAGACACCAACCAUGCCAUAUGCCAACCACACCUGUCAUCAUUAUUUUCGUUUGGCAUUACAGUAUUUUACUCCCUGGACCACAUUCUUUGCACACCAGAAUCAAUAAACGUUGACGACGAGGGCCACGAGGGGUGCCAUCCAUGCCAACCCGGCCUGCAUGAUUAAGUCUGAACUGCUGUCCCUCGUGGAUACUCGGCGACCGGCGACCUCACCAGACCCCAUCCGGCACCAACCCCGCGCUCCGGGACACCUAUUUAUAGCUCUCGCCGCGCACGCUCUGGGCAACCAAGCAGCCGCUGCAACAUACUGCAACUACUUUGCACUAGCAACACAACGCUCUGACUGAGCUCAUAGCCUUCGCGCCUGCCCGUCUUAACUAGUUGAUCGCCGCAGCAAUGGCCUCCACCAACAGCUGGACCCACGAGAUUGAGUCCUCAGUCGCGGCACCGCGCCUGUUCCGUGCCGGCGUCAUGGACUGGCACACUCUGGCACCCAAGCUCGCGCCCCACAUCGUCGCCAGCGCCCAUCCCGUCAACGGCGAAGGCGGCAUCGGCAGCGUUAGGCAGUUCAACUUUACCUCAGGUACGUACGCAUCACAAUCCCAUACAACCCAUGCGUGUCACCUCAGUCUAGAAAUCCGGCGUGUAUCUAUACAUGGUCAAGCGAAAGCAUAACACGCAGUUGAUCAUGCAGCCAUGCCCUUUAGCGUCAUGAAGGAGAGGCUAGAGUUCCUGGACGAGGAGAAGUGCGAGUGCAAGUCAACCCUCAUCGAGGGCGGCGGCAUCGGCUCGGCCAUCGAGACCGCAACGUCGCGCAUCAAGGUGGAGCCGGCGGCCAACGGCGGGAGCGUCGUGAAAGUGGACUCGACGUACAAGCUGCUGCCAGGCGUGGAGGUGAAUGACGAAAUCACCAAGGCCAAGGAAUCCGUCACCGCCAUCUUCAAGGCCGCCGAGGCCUACCUCAUCGCCAACCCCGAC